GUUUUUUUUGUUCUGUUUUCUUUUUUUGUAAUUUCUUUCUUUUAUUUAUUUUCUUUUCUGUUUCAUUUCAAUUUAAGUUAUUUAGGCAUCCUCUAAAAAUGUGUUUACUUCACCAUAAUUAACUAUGCCUUAUUUGGCAUCUCCCGAACAUUUUUGUUUUAAAUUUUGAAAAACUUUUAUCGUUGACAUUAAUUUGAAUUUGAAAUUUUAAACGGUUUGACCUAACGGUAGAUUAGCAACAGUAACUAUGGUGACGUGGCACCAUUAGGGUGGGAUUACCGUGGCUUGAUUAUCCGGGCGUUAUAGUUAAUCAAAUGACAACUCAUGUCCAUGGCUAGGAAACUUAACCAUCUUCGAUUAACGAGCUAGUCAAGUAGAGGCAUACUAGUGACACUAUGUUUGUCUAUGUAUUCACACAUGUAUUAUGUUUCCGGUUAAUACAAUUCUAGCAGGAAUAAUAAAGAUUUAUCAUGAUAUGAGGAAAUAAAUAAUAACUUUAUUAUUGCUUCUAGGGCAUAUUUCCUUCAGUCUCCCACUUGCACUAGAGUCAAUAAUCUAGAUUACACAGUAAUGAUCCUAACACCCAUGGAGUUUUGGUGCUGAUCAUGUUUUGCUCGUGGAAGAGGCUUAGUCAACGGGUCUGCAACAUUCAGAUCCGUAUGUAUCUUGCAAAUCUCUAUGUCUCCCACCUGGACUUGGUCCCGGAUGGAAUUGAAGCGUCUCUUGAUGUGCUUGGUCCUCUUGUGAAAUCUAGAUUCCUUUGCCAAGGCAAUUGCACCAGUAUUGUCACAAAAGAUUUUCAUUGGACCCGAUGCACUAGGUAUGACACCUAGAUCGGAUAUGAACUCCUUCAUUUGCUGCUUCUGAAGCAGCUAUGUACUCCGCUUCACACGUAGAUCCCGCCACGACGCUUUGUUUAGAACUGCACCAACUGACAGCUCCACCGUUCAAUGUAAACACGUAUCUGGUUUGCGAUUUAGAAUCGUCUGAAUCAGUGUCAAAGCUUGCAUCGACGUAACCAUUUACGACUAGCUCUUUGUCACCUCCAUAAACGAGAAACAUAUCCUUAGUCCUUUUCAGGUAUUUCAGGAUGUUCUUGACCGCUGUCCAGUGAUCCACUCUUGGAUUACUUUGGUACCUCCCUGCUAGGCUAAUAGCAAGACACACAUCAGGUCUGGUACAUAGCAUUGCAUACAUGAUAGACCCUAUGGCUGAAGCAUAGGGAACAUCUUUCAUUUUCUCUCUAUCUUCUGCAGUGGUCGGGCAUUGAGUCUGACUCAACUUCACACCUUGUAACACAGGCAAGAACCCUUUCUUUGCUUGAUCCAUUUUGAACAUCUUCAAAACUUUGUCAAGGUAUGUGCUUUGUGAAAGUCCUAUCAAGCGUCUUGAUCUAUCUCUAUAGAUCUUGAUGCCUAAUAUGUAAGCAGCUUCACCGAGGUAUUUCAUUGAAAAACUUUUAUUCAAGUAUCCUUUUAUGCUAUCCAGAAAUUCUAUAUCAUUUAAUAUGUCAUCCACAUAUAAUAUCAGAAAUGCUACAGAGCUCCCACUCACUUUCUUGUAAAUACAGGCUUCUCCAAAAGUCUGUAUAAAACCAUAUGCUUUGAUCACACUAUCAAAACAUUUAUUCCAACUCCGAGAGGCUUGCACCAGUCCAUAAAUGGAUCGCUGGAGCUUGCACACUUUGUUAGCUUCCUUUGGAUCGACAAAACCUUCUGGUUGCAUCAUAUACACCUCUUCUUCCAGAAAUCCAUUCAGGAAUGCAGUUUUGACAUCCAUUUGCCAAAUUUCAUAAUCAUAAAAUGCAGCAAUUGCUAACAUGAUUCGGACAGACUUAAGCAUCGCUACGGGUGAGAAAGUCUCAUCGUAGUCAAUCCCUUGAACUUGUCGAAAACCUUUUGCAACAAGUCGAGCUUUAUAGACAGUAACAUUACCGUCAGUGUCAGUCUUCUUCUUGAAGAUCCAUUUAUUCUCAAUGGCUUGCUGAUCAUCGGGCAAGUCAACCAAAGUCCACACUUUGUCUCAUACAUGGAUCCCAUCUCAGAUUUCAUGGCCUCAAGCCAUUUUGCGGAAUCUGGGCUCACCAUCGCUUCUUCAUAGUUCGUAGGUUCACCUUGGUCAAGUAAUAUGACCUCCAGAAUAGGAUUACCGUACCACUCUGGUGCGGAUCUUACUCCAGUUGGCCUACGAGGUUCAGUAGUAACUUGAUCUGAAGUUUCAUGAUCGAUAUCAUUAGCUUCCUCACUAAUUGGUGUAGGUGUCACAGGAACCGGUUUCUGUGAUGAACUACUUUCCAAUAAGGGAGCAGGUACAGUUACCUCAUCUAGUUCUACUUUCCUCCCACUCACUUCUUUCGAGAGAAACUCCUUCUCUAGAAAGGAUCCAUUCUUGGCAACGAAUGUCUUGCCUUCGGAUCUGUGAUAGAAGGUGUACCCAACAGUUUUCUUUGGGUAUCCUAUGAAGACACAUUUCUCCGAUUGGGGUUCGAGCUUAUCAGGUUGAACCUUUUUCACAUAAGCAUCGCAGCCCCAAACUUUAAGAAAUGACAACUUUGGUUUCUUGCCAAACCACAGUUCAUAAGACGUCGUCUCAACGGAUUUCGAUGGUGUCCUAUUUAAUGUGAAUGCAGCCGUCUCUAAAGCAUAACCCCAAAACGAUAGCGGUAAAUCAGUAAGAGACAUCAUAGAUCGCACCAUAUCUAGUAAAGUAUGAUUACGACGUUCGAAAACACCAUUACGCUGUGGUGUUCCGGGUGGCAUGAGUUGCAAAACUAUUCCGCAUUGUUUCAAAUGUAGACCAAACUCGUAACUCAAAUAUUCUCCUCCACGAUUAGAUCGUAGAAACUUUAUUUUCUUGUUACGAUGAUUUUCCACUUCACUCUGAAAUUCUUUGAACUUUUCAAAUGUUUCAGACUUAUGUUUCAUUAAGUAUAUAUACCCAUAUCUGCUCAAAUCAUCUGUGAAGGUGAGAAAAUAAUGAUACCCGCCGCGAGCCUCAACAUUCAUUGGACCACAUACAUCAGUAUGUAUGAUCUCCAACAAAUCAGUUGCUUGCUCCAUAGUUCCGGAGAACGGCGUUUUAGUCAUCUUGCCCAUGAGGCAAGGUUCGCAAGUACCAAGUGAUUCAUAAUCAAGUGAUUCCAAAAGUCCAUCAGUAUGGAGUUUCUUCAUGCGCUUUACACCUAUAUGACCCAAACGGCAGUGCCACAAAUAAGUUGCACUAUCAUUAUCAACUCUGCAUCUUUUGGCUUCAACAUUUUGAAUAUGUGUAUCACUACUAUCAAGAUUCAACAAAAAUAGACCACUCUUCAAGGGUGCAUGACCAUAAAAGAUAUUACUCAUAUAAAUAGAACAACCAUUAUUCUCGGAUUUAAAUGAAUAACUAUCUCGCAUCAAACAAGAUCCAGAUAUAAUGUCCAUGCUUAAUGCUGGCACCAAAUAACAAUUAUUUAGGUCUAAAACUAAUCCCGAAGGUAGAUGUAGAGGUAGCGUGCCGACGGCGAUCACAUCGACUUUGGAACCAUUUCCCACGCGCAUCGUCACCUCUUCCUUAGCCAGUCUUCGCUUAAUCCGUAGUCCCUGUUUCGAGUUGCAAAUAUUAGCAACAGAACCAGUAUCAAAUACCCAGGUGCUACUGCGAGCUUUAGUAAGGUACACAUCAAUAACAUGUAUAUCACAUAUACCUUUGUUCACCUUGCCAUCCUUCUUAUCCGCCAAAUACUUGGGGCAGUUUCGCUUCCAGUGUCCAGUCUGCUUGCAGUAGAAGCACUCAGUCUCAGGCUUAGGUCUAGACUUGGGUUUCUUCUCUUGAGCAGCAACUUGUUUGCUAUUCUUCUUGAACUUCCCCUUCUUCUUCCCUUUACCCUUUUUCUUGAAACUGGUGGUCUUAUUGACCAUCAACACUUGAUGCUCCUUCUUGAUUUCUACCUCCGCAGCCUUUAGCAUUGCGAAGAGCUCGGGAAUUGUCUUAUCCAUCCCUUGCAUAUUAUAGUUCAUCACGAAGCUCUUGUAGCUUGGUGGCAGUGAUUGAAGAAUUCUGUCAAUGACACUAUCAUCCGGAAGAUUGACUCCCAGUUGAAUCAAGUGAUUGUUAUACCCAGACAUUUUAAGUAUUUGUUCACUGACAGAACUAUUCUCCUCCAUCUUGCAGCUGUAGAACUUAUUGGAGACUUCAUAUCUCUCAAUUCGGGCAUUUGCUUGAAAUAUUAACUUCAACUCCUGGAACAUCUCAUAUGCUCCAAGACGUUCAAAACGUCAUUGAAGUCCCGGUUCUAAGCCGUAAAGCAUGGCACAUUGAACUAUCGAGUAGUCAUCAGCUUUGCUCUGCCAGACGUUCUUAACGUCGUCAGUUGCAUCUGCAGCAGGCCUAGCACCCAGCGGUGCUUCCAGGACGUAAUUCUUCUGUGCAGCAAUGAGGAUAAUCCUCAAGUUACGGACCCAGUCCGUGUAAUUGCUACCAUCAUCUUUCAACCAUGCUUUCUCAAGGAACGCAUUAAAAUUCAACGGAACAACAGCAAGGGCCAUCUAUCUACAAUCAACAUAGACAAGCAAAAUACUAUCAGGUACUAAGUUCAUGAUAAAUUUAAGUUCAAUUAAUCAUAUUACUUAAGAACUCCCACUUAGAUAGACAUCCCUCUAAUCAUCUAAGUGAUCACGUGAUCCAACUCAACUAAACCAUAACCGAUCAUCACGUGAAAUGGAGUAGUUUUCAAUGGUGAACAUCACUAUGUUGAUCAUAUCUACUAUAUGAUUCACGUUCGACCUUUCGGUCUCAGUGUUCCGAGGCCAUAUCUGCAUAUGCUAGGCUCGUCAAGUUUAACCCGAGUAUUCUGCAUGUGCAAACACUGGCUUGCACCCAUUGUAGAUGAACGUAGAGCUUAUCACACCCGAUCAUCACGUGGUGUCUCGGCACGAUGAACUUUGGCAACGGUGCAUACUCAGGGAGAACACUUUUAUCUUGAAAUUUUAGUGAGAGAUCAUCUUAUAAUGCUACCGUCAAUCAAAGCAAAAUAAGAUGCAAAAAGGAUAAACAUCACAUGCAAUUAAUAUAAGUGAUAUUAUAUGGCCAUCAUCAUCUUGUGCUUGUGAUCUCCAUCUUUGAAGCACCUUCAUGAUCACCAUCGUCACCGGCGCGACACCUUGAUCUCCAUCGUAGCAUCGUUGUGAUCUCGCCAACUAUUGCUUCUACGACUAUCGCUACCACAUAGUGAUAAAGUAAAGCAAUUACAGGGCGAUUGCAUUGCAUACAAUAAAGUGACAACCAUAUGGCUCCUGUCAUUUGCUGAUAACUCGGUUACAAAACAUGAUCAUCUCAUACAAUAAAAUAUAGCAUCAUGCCUUGACCAUAUCACAUCACAACAUUCCCUGCAAAAACAAGUUAGACGUCCUCUACUUUGUUGUUGCAAGUUUUAGGUGGCUGCUACGGGCUGAGCAAAAACCAUUCUUACCUACGCAUCAAAACCACAACGAUAGUUCAUCAAAACCACGUACCCUCGUAGACCGAAAGCGGAAGCGUUAGCACAACACGGUUGAUGUAGUCCUACAUCUUCACGAUCCGACCGAUCUGAGUACCGAACGUACGGCACCUCCGAGUUCAGCACACGUUCAGCUCAAUGACGUCCCUCGAACUCCGAUCCAGCUGAGCUUUGAGGGAGAGUUCCGUCAGCACGACGACGUGAUGACGGUGAUGAUGUUGCUACCGACGCAGGGCUUCGCCUAAGCACCGCUACAAUACGAUCGAGGUGGGCUAUGGUGGAAGGGGGCACCGCACACGGCUAAGAGAUCAAGAGAUCAAUUGUUGUGUCUAGAGGUGCCCCCUGCCCUCGUAUAUAAAGGACCAGGGGAAGGGGCGGCCGGCCAGGAGGAGGGCGCGCCAGGGAGGAGUCCUACUCCCAUCGGGAGUAGGACUCCCUCUUUUCCUAGUUGGAGUAGGAGGGGGAAAGGAAGGGAAGGAGAGAGGGGAAGGAAAGGGGCCCCCUCCUUGUCCAAUUCGGACUAGAGGGGGAGUGGGGGCGCGGCCAGCCCUAGCCGCCCCUCCUCUUCUCCACUAAGGCCCAUCUUGGCCCAUUAAACUACCCGGGAGGUUUCGGUAACCCCCCUGUACUCCGGUAUGUGUCCGAAACUCCCCGAAACCAUUCCGGUAUCCGAACAUAGUCGUCCAAUAUAUCGAUCUUUAUGUCUCGACCAUUUCGAGACUCCUCGUCAUGUCCGUGAUCAUAUCCGGGACUCCGAACUACCUUCGGUACAUCAAAACACAAAACUCAUAAUACCGAUCGUCAUCUAACUUUAAGCGUGCGGACCCUACGGGUUCGAGAACUAUGUAGACAUGACCGAGACACGUCUCCGGUCAAUAACCAAUAGCGGAACCUGGAUGCUCAUAUUGGCUCCUACAUAUUCUACGAAGAUCUUUAUCGGUCAAACCACAUAACAACAUACGUUGUUCCCUUUGUCAUCGGUAUGUUACUUGCCCGAGAUUCGAUCGUCGGUAUCUCAAUACCUAGUUCAAUCUCGUUACCGGCAAGUCUCUUUACUCGUUCCGUAAUACAUCAUCUCACAACUAACUCAUUGGUCACCAUGCUUGCAAGGCUUAUAGUGAUGUGCAUUACCGAGAGGGCCCAGAGAUACCUCUCCGACAAUCGGAGUGACAAAUCCUAAUCUCGAAAUAUGCCAACCCAACAAGUACCUUCGGAGACACCUGUAGAGCACCUUUAUAAUCACCCAGUUAUGUUGUGAUGUUUGGUAGCACACAAAGUGUUCCUCCGGUAAACGGGAGUUGCAUAAUCUCAUAGUCAUAGGAACAUGUAUAAGUCAUGAAGAGAGCAAUAGCAACAUACUAAACGAUGAAGUGCUAAGCUAACGGAAUGGGUCAAGUCAAUCACAUUAUUCUCCUAAUAAUGUUAUCCCGUUAAUCAAAUGACAACUCAUGUCCAUGGCUAGGAAACUUAACCAUCUUCGAUUAACGAGCUAGUCAAGUAGAGGCAUACUAGUGACACUAUGUUUGUCUAUGUAUUCACACAUGUAUUAUGUUUCCGGUUAAUACAAUUCUAGCAUGAAUAAUAAACAUUUAUGAUGAUAUGAGGAAAUAAAUAAUAACUUUAUUAUUGCCUCUAGGGCAUAUUUCCUUCACUUUGCUCCCCUCCCCUCUCUCCCACUAUGGCCCAAUAAGGCCCAUAUACCUCCCGGGGGGUUCUGGUAACCUCCCAGUACUCCGGUAUAUGCCCGAUCUCACCCGGAACCAUUCCGAUGUCCAAAUAUAGUCAUCCAGUAUAUCAAUCUUUAUGUCUAGACCAUUUUGAGACUCCUCUUCAUGUCCGUGAUCAUAUCCGGGACUCCGAACUACCUCCGGUACAUCAAAACAAAUAAACUCAUAAUACCGAUCGUCACCGAACGUUAAGCGUGCGGACCCUACGGGUUCAAGAACUAUGUAGACAUCAAAGGGCAGCAACAUAACCACAAGCAAAUUACACCAAUAAGAGCAAUUCACCAAUUACCGAUAGGACAACGAAAAUCUACUCAGACAUCAUAGGAUGGCAACACAUCAUUGGAUAAUAAUAUGAAGCAUAAAGCACCAUGUUCAAGUAGAGGGUACAGCGGGUUGCGGGAGAGUGGACCGCUGUAGAUAGAUGGGGGAAGGUGAUGAAGAUGUUGGUGAAGAUGGUGGAGGUGUUGGUGUAGAUUGCGGUGACGAUGAUGGCCCCGGCGGCGUUCCGGCGCCACCGGAAGAGAGGGGGAGAGAGCCCCCCUUCUUCUUCUUCCUUGACCUUCUCCCUAGAUGGGAGAAGGGUUUCCCCUCUGGUCCUUGGCUUCCAUGGCAUGGGAGGGGCGAAAGCCCCUCCGAGAUUGGAUUUGUCUCUGUGUGUCUCUCUGUUUCUGUGUUUUGGAUUCUGCCCUUUCACCGUUUCUUAUAUUCCCGGAGAUCCGUAACUCCGAUUGGGCUGAAAUUUGGACAUGAUUUUUAUACGGAUAUUGGCUUUCUUGCGGCGAAAGAAGGGCACAAACCGCCUUAAGGGGUGGCCACGAGGGCCCAGGGCGCGCCUGACCCCAUGGGGCGCGCCCCUCACCCUCGUGGGCCCCUCGGGCAUCGUCUCGCGUUGAUUCCACUUUCCAAAAUUCAUAUAUAUUCCAAAAAAAAUCUCCGUCAGUUUUUAUCCCGUUUGGACUUUGUUUGAUAUGGAUUUUCUGCGAAACAAAAAACAUGCAACAAACAGGAACUGGCACUGGGCACUGGAUCAAUAUGUUAGUCCCAAAAAUAGUAUAAAAAGUUGCCGAAAGUAUGUAAAAGUUGUAGAAUAUUGGCAUGGAACAAUAAAAAAUUAUAGAGACGAUGGAGACGUAUCACCAUCCGUCGGGGCCUCUGCAGGCCCAAGAACGCCGUCUUGUUGGACCUGGUCGUUCGUUGGCGUUGUGGCGGUCCUUGCGGCAUCCUCUUGUUGUCGCAUCGCUUCUAUUGGGGGUGCGGCACAGCGCGGCGGACUCUUGGCCUGGCGUUCCUCCCGUACCGCCACUAGCGCCGCGCUUGCGGAGUAGGGAGUGGCGGCAAGGUAAAGCACCAGGGGCUCGAGGGGACGAGGCGUCACCAUCACCGGGGGGCUAGUCAGGUUUCUCUUGAGGUCUUGAAAUGCCAUGUUGGCCUCCGGGGUCCACUCGAACGGGCCCUUCUUCUUCAUCAGCUUGAAGAACGGCAACGCGUGCUCCCCAAGCUUGGAGAUGAAGCGCCCUAGCGAGGUCAUGCAGCCCGCAAGCUUCUGCAUCUCCUUGAGAGUUUGCGGUGGGCUCAUGUCUUCUAUUGCCUUGACCUUCUCCGGGUUAGCCUCGAUCCCCCUAUGGGACACGAGGAAGCCCAGCAGCUUGCCGGAGGGGACACCGAACACGCACUUCUUUGGGUUGAGUCGCAGGCCCACCUGGCGCAGGCUCGUGAAGGUCUCCUCCAGGUCCUGAAUCAAAGUUCUCGCCUCCCGAGAUUUUACCACUAUGUCAUCGACAUAGGCUUCAGCGUUUCUCCCGAGCUGCUGACCUAGGGCGAUGUUGUGACACCCAAAAUUUUAUUUGGCUUUUUCAAAAAAAUUAUUUGACUUGAGGGAGGUGAUUUAAAUUUUCUUCUAAAGAACUCUCCCUCUCAAAAUAUCUUCUUUUGUGACAAGUGUUUUUGUUUUGGGAUUCACCCAAGACUUGAUUUUUGGUCUUGGAAGUUUUCCUUUUUAUUUGGACUCAAAACCAAAAUGCCUUUCACUUGGGAGAUUUUCCUUUUGAAAAUUCCUUUAAAUAAAUCCUAUGGCUUUUGGAAUGUUUCUCUCCACUUUCAAAAAUCCCUCUUGCCAUGACCCAAGUGCAAAUCCUCUCCCAUAAGCCUUUCCUCAUCUUUGGAUCAUGAUGUGCUUCAGAUCCAGCAAGUUGAACCUCUCCAUAUAAAUAUUUCCAUUUAUUUCUUAUCAAAAACAAUUUCUGCCUCCUAUUCUAGCUCUUGAAGAUUUACUAAGGAGCUACCCUUUCUGUUUUGAUUUUUGCCCCCAAACCAAUUUCCCUAGCUAGUACUUUGAACCCUCAACCAAGAUCCAUGAAGAUCCACUGGUCUUCAGUUCAAAUAUUUCAAACUACACCUGCUGCAAGUUUGGACCAGAUUUGCCAAAUUUGCUGAAAUUCAUUCAAAUCCUUCUCCUAAAAAUCUGAGAAAAAUCAGGCAGCCUCUGGGUGCAUUGAGAGGUCAGCUCACCAAGUCCCAGCUCCAGGAAAAAUUUUCUUCUUGCCAAAUCAUUUCAUCGAACACCUACUGGAAACUGUCUCUAUAAUGUUCAGUCAAGUUCAGUUAACAGUGUCUGAAACUACUGUCGUUUCUUCAGUGUCCGUUGUCGAUCUCGCCAGUGCCCCGGCGUCGCCGUGCUUCCUGUCCCCUCCCCCUUGUCCUCUGCACCGCACGAGCGCCUGGAAGGUUGCGGGCGUCGGCGACGAGCAGGAGGAGGUGCGCCACCCCGUGACCGACGCCAGCGGCGGCUUUGCGGCCGCCAGAGAGAGGCGCAGCGCAGACGGCGCCGUCCAGCGCCGCCCAAGCCACCGGAGGUCGCCGCGUGGUCUUCCACUCCCCCGUGCGCGCUGCCGCCCUCGUCGUGAACCGCUGGGCGCGGAGCGCGCUCUCUGCCGCCGUCGUGCCCGUACGGCCACCCCGCCGUGGACCGGCGCCAUUACGCCAAGACCGACCGGGAUUAGCGGGGGAACGGCACCAGUACACCUCACUGAUGCUGCCUGGCCACUCAAACUCCUUACCAAGCCACUGCCUCGCCGUAAUUGCUCGCCGGAGCGAUCCCGUUCACGGCCACCCCCUCGAGCCGCCUAUAAAUAGAGGCCCCGAGCUCCACCUCGAACCCACACCACCUCUGCACACCUCCAACGCCCCGCCUAGCCACUGGAAGAGCCCCGAGGGAGCCUUCUUCCUCAACUCCGGCCGCCGCGACCCGCCACGGGAUCCAGCUCGAUUCACUCCCGUGCGUGCAUCCCUAACCCCCAGCUCUUGCCAGUAGCUCUCUAGUGCAUCCACUCUUCUGACCCGCGCUUCAAUUCGGAGUUUGCAGCACUCACCAGAGUUCCCCACCAUCGCCCGAGCCGCCGUCCGCCGGAGAAAGUGUCGUCGUCGACGUGGUGCUCUCCGACGACCAAGUCCACCACCCACCGACACGGAAGGACACGCUGAACCUCUUGGUACACUCCGAUCUCCCUGACUCGCCGUGGUUCGACGCCGGCGACCACCGCAGCCUUCGGGCGCCGGCGAGGAUUUGAACCUGACAUGUGGGACCCCCACGUCAGCCUCUCUUCUUUCUCUCCCCGAAGCGUUUUCUAUUGGCGCCUUCGGGCAAGUACGUUUUCUCUGUGGGCUGGCGCGUUUCUAUUCGAACCGUUUUCUGUUUUCUCAGUUAAGUCCCUGGUUCUUUUCUGUUUCAUCACAGAUUAGUCCCUGGACAAAAACCCUUAUAACUUUUUAAUAAAAAGUGAUUUUUGAGUGAUUCUUUUUCUGACAGUCUUAUAUUUUUGUCUUUUUUAUAGGAUUUAUUUGGAAAAAUUUUGAGACAACUUUUAUGCACGCGUUGGUUUUCACGUUAGUAUGCAUUUUCGCUAUACCGUAGGUUCCGGAAGAGGUGACGGAGCCGCGAACUUCGCCGAGCUAGACUCCGACUUCUCCAAACCAGGCAAGCAUGUUUGAACCUUUGAUAUGAUAGGUGUUUUGCAUGUUUGCUUGAAAGGUUGUGCAUGGCAUAUGAGCAUCGGUGAGUAUCUCGUUGCAUGUAAGGCAACUACCCGUGUGUUCCGAAGUUACUAUGAUCUCUGAUGAGAGAUGGCCUAGUCAUGUGGUGACACGAAGGGCAGUAAGGUGGUAUUGUUGUAGCAUGCCAGCCUUACGUCAUCCGAUUAAUUCUGACGUUAACGUGGACGGAGUCACGUUAUCGUUCUUUCCCCUUCCGUGCUACCACAUGUCUUCUGCCAGAAUACGGUUUAGUAAGUUGGUAACCUCUUUCCGUGUACACACCAAUUAGAGGGGCCGGGAUGAGGGUUCCAUGGCCCUGGAUUAAAGCCAGUCAUCCGGUCCGGGGGCAUGGGUGUUUUCGGUUGGGACCGAGAGGGGGGCACCCCUUAGAGCGCGCGAAUAGAAAUUUCAUCCCAUGCUACGCGAGGUUGUAGCCUCCCCGUCUCAACGUUUUUCUUGAACGUUGCCGAGGGUGAUUCCUGGCUUCGGAAUGUUGAAUGGGUGUGUACUGGUUAGAUGUGUUUCUUCCAAAACACCGUAACGGAACUAGUCCCCGUGACUACUGAAAUCCGUUGGCUGUGGUUAAAGUACAAACUCUGCAGAGUCAAAUCCUUCCGAGUCAUCGUAUCCAUGGUCAAGGACCGUGAUCAGUGAACCCAUAUCUAUGUCAAGUCCUCGUGGUAUUAUCCCCGGUAAACAAACUUGAGUGGUAAACUUGGUUAAACAUUAUUCCUGUGGAUGGACUAACCCUGUUGUUUACUUCAUACCUGAUUAUGCCCUUGAAAUGUUUUAAAUUCUUGACUUGCUGAGAUAUCAAGUUAUGUAAUAUAAGCCCUUUCUGUGAUGUCGCUCAGACGUCCGACUGUGGCAUGUUUGUCUUUUACUUUCAAUAUAAGCCCUUUAUGUGAUGUCGCUCAGACGUCCGACUGUGGCAUGUUUGUCUUUUACUUUCAAUAUAAGCCCUUUAUGCGAUGUCGCUCAGACGUCCGACUGUGCACGCACUGUCAUUUAUUUUCUAUUAUAAGCCCUUUAUGUGGUGUCGCCUUGACGCCCGACUGCGGCAUUGUUAUUCUUGCAUUUUCCUCUCGAGGAGUCAUUCAGACACUCGCUUGGCCCUCAGUAUUUCUUUUGGGAUUUCGGGAGGACUACCGCCCGGUUCCUCUUUUAUUUCCCAUGCAAUAUUAUCUCUAUGUCUGAAUGCACUUGUUAACCUGUCCAUAUGCAUCAUGUUUACAUUUGUUAUAUCUUAAGUCCGAACUGUCUUGCGAGUACUUUCAUAGUACUCACCUGGCUUGUUGAUUUGGCCAGAUGUUGACGAAGGCGAUCUCUUGGGUGAAGAGUUUGAUAGUGAGUCCGACGCCUAGAGGAAUCCCAGUCAGUCCCGUGCGAUCCUGGAUAUUGGUCACUUGUAUUAUAUACGCUUCCGCCACCCGCAAUAAGUCUCCUCGAGCCUCACUCCGACGCUCGAAGAGUUGUUAGUUUUCAGGAGUCAUAUCACCCACAUCGCGGUGAUAUUUCCACCACCACUUCUAUCGUGAGUUAGUAGUUAUGACACCCUAUCCGCCAUUAUGUUUUAAUGGCGUGCAUGUAAUAAAUUGUUGGGCAGUCUCCGCUCAACCUUGUAUUAUAUUCAGUACUCCUGGUAUUUUCUUCUGUGACCAAGAUAUUGUCUACCAGUGAAAAGAAAUUCUUCUUUACUGGUCCGUAAAAGGGAUUGGUCUCUCAAUAAAUAUUUUUAUUGAAAAACCGGUCGUGACAGAUGUGCAUCAGCCGUUGGAAGGUCGCACCUGCAUUGCGCAGCCCGAACGGCAUGCAAGUGUAGCAGUACACCCGCAUGGGGUCAGGAAAGCCGUCUUCUCCACAUCCUCCACCGCCAUCUUGAUCUGGUGGUAGCCCGACAACACGUCUAGGAAGCACAACAGGUCACACUCGGCGGUGGAGUCGACAAUCUGGUCGAUGCGCGGAAGCGGGAGUGGGUCUUGGGGGCAGGCCUUGUUGAGGUUGGUGAAGUCGACACACAUGCGCUCCUUCCCGCCUUUCUUUGGCACGACAACGGGGUUUGCCAGCCACUCCGGGUACUGGACCUCACGAAUGACACCUGCCGCUUCCAGCUUGCGCGUCUCCUAGAUGAUGAAGGACUACUUCUCUGUCGAUUGCCGCCGCGCCUUCUGCUUCACAGGGCACACAUUGGGGCACACCCUUAGGUGAUGCUCGAUCACCCCCCUCGGGACCCCUACCAGCUGCUUGGGUUCCCAGGCGAAUACCUCCUUGUUCGCGCGCAGGAACCUCACCAAUGCUUCCUCUUGAUCCGGAUCGAGGUUGGCGCCUAUGGUGAAGGUGGCUCCUAGGGUCCCACCUUCCUCAACCGGCACUUGCUUAGUUUCGGCCCAAUCUUGAGUGAAUAGCUGCUUCUUCUCUACCGGUGCGGCCUGCUUAGCUCCGGGGGUGGCCUCGUCGGCCGGGCAUGCUGCCGUGGCGGCUUUGAGAGCAAGCUUGAGCACCGCCAGAGCCUCCUUGGUGUCUCCAGCUACGGUGAGGACGCCUUUGCUCCCUGGCAUCUUCAUGAGGUUGUAGGCCGGAUGAGUUGCCGCCAUAAACUGAGCCAGGGCCGGGUACCCGAGGAUGGCGUUGUAUGGGAGGCCAAUGCGGGCGAUGUCGAAGUCGAUCAGCUCGGUACGGUAGUUGUCGCGAGUGCCGAAGGUCACAGGAAGGCGGAUCUGCCCCAGGGGGCUGGCGGAGCCGCCGACGACCCCGGAGAAGGGCUUGGUGGGACGAAGCCGUUCGUGCAGCACAUGAAGCAAACUGAAAGCUUCCACGUAGAGCACAUUAAGGCCGGCCCCGCCAUCGAUGAGGGUCUUGGUGACGGCUACGUUGGAGAUGGUGGGCGUGCAAACCAUUGGGAGCACGCCCGAGCUGAUGGUUGUGACGAGGUGACCCCCCGAGUCAAAGGUGAGGUCGGCCUUGGGCGCCGCCGAACCUGGGGGAGCUCCUUCCUGCAUGGAGGCGGCGCCAAUCCGGCGGAAGAACUGCUUGGUGUGAUGGUCCGAGGGCGGUGCUUGUGAGCCACCGAGGAGGGCUGCGACGGCAAUGGGCGCCGGUGCCGCGAAGCGCGCGACGAAGAGGCCGCGCAGCUCCUCCCAAGAUGCCACUGAGGAUCCCGGUAGGGUGAGCAGCCAGGCGCGCGGUGCGCCAGCGAGGGCCAUGGGAAACCAGUUGGCCAUGACCUUGUCGUCGCCCCCAGCCUCCAGGACGACCUCUUCGUAUGCCAGCAGGAAGGCCGCGCCGUCGUAACACAGCGGCAUCUCUGGCUUGAACCUGGGUGGCCACUGUACCCGCCGCAGGGCGGGGGGAAAAGCUCUGAGCCCCCUGGCGCCUUCAUGGGCGCCCGUCAUCCUAGCCGGAGGAGCAACACCGGCCAUGGGGACGAAGCGUGGAGGUGGUGGAGCAUGGAUCGACGAAAGGAAAGCUUCAGCGCACCCCUACCUGGCGUGCCAAAUGUCGGAUUGCGGGUUCCGGCAAAACCCUUGAGGCUCGAACUCUGGGGUGCGCACGAAGAUCUCUCCCUCCCCCUAGCUCGCUCACUCACCACGAUCUCAAAGCUCAGCUCGUCGAACUCGAAGAACAAGGGACACAAGAGUUUAUACUGGUUCGGGCCGCUGAUGUGGUGUAAUACCCUACUCCAGUGUGGUGUGGUGGAUUGCCUUGUGUCACGACCGGAUUUUUGGGAUAUAAAUUCCCAGAAAAACGGCCUGUGUGCUCACCAGCCCCAGGAUUACUGUUAGCUGAUGAGGCACCAACUUGAUACAAGAAAAAUCCAAGCAAGUACAAAAAUAUGUAGUACAAGACCAUUUAGGCUUAGGAGUACAACACUUGGUUACUAGUGGUUGAUGGCGGAAGCGGUCUGUGGUUCAUCUGCGUCUAUGGGACUCCAUUUCCCACAAGAACAGCUGACCAGGAUAACUCCUAUCUUCGCGAGGCUGCAAAAGUCAACGCGUAGGUUCCGAGGUUGUCACCGCGAUGCUUAUCUCUAAGCAAGGAAUCUGGCCAAGACAAUAGCCAGGGACAAGCCAGUGAGUACGUUUGAAUGUACUCGCAAACAUUAAGAACACGGGUAUAAUAUAUAUCAAACAUGCUCCAGAUUAUUAUGUGAUCACACGUCUGUCAGGAAAUAUACGAAAGACCAAGAUGCACACAUGUGGUUAAAAAUAUACCAAAACAAAAUACUGGGUGCCAAACGAGUGUCUGAAUGACUCCUCGAGCGGAAAAUGCAGAAUAGUAAUACUGGUGCCAAACGAGUGUCUGAAUGACUCCUCGAGCGGAAAAUGCAGAAUAGUAAUACUGGUGCCAAACGAGUGUCUGAAUGACUCCUCGAGCGGAAAAUGCAGAAAUAAUAAUGCCGCAGUCGGGCGUCGGGGCGACACCACAUAAAGGGCUUAUAAGAGAAUAAUCACAGUGAAUAUCCAGGAGGUAGAACCAUCCCAGGGAUACUCAAUAAUAUAUGUAAUAUAAAUGGUUAGUCCAAAAAUAAAUAAGGAUCAAAAUCCACAUGUGCCACAAUCAUAAACAAUAUAUAGUACAGUCGUUUCUCCAUCCAAAUAACCGAUAAUUUAGUCAAGCCGUAUCUCCAUCCGAAUAUCGUUACUACGUUCCAGUUAAAUCGUUCUCCAUCCGAAUACCGUUACUGAGUUCUAGUUAAAUCGUUCUCCAUCCGAAUACCGUUACUGAGACUCAACUCAGACUGUGGUUUUUACUCAAGGACAUGACUAUCCAACAGGAUAUAUCCUCUGCAGAGGGAGUACCAUUUACCACGAGUAACGGGUUUACUUAGUCCCUCGGGACUAAUUCCGUCUACGGUCUUUUAAUUGAAAACACGCCUGACCUGCACACACCAGCUUAACUCACCAGUGUCUGGAAUCACCCACGACACCUGCCAAGCAAAACUCUAAGUGGGGAGGCUACAACCUCGACGUAGCAUGGGAUCACAAAAUUUAUACCGCGCGCAAACUGGGGAGCUACCCCUUCGGCUACAACCAAAACACCCAUGCCCCCGGACCGGAUGACUGGCUUUAAUCCAUGGCCAUGGGACCCUCAUCACGGCCUCUCUGUACGGUGUGUGCUUUGGAAAGGGGUUGACAACCUACUGAACCAUACCCUGUCCCCUGCAGGGACAAGUGGUGGUACCGACAAAGAAGGAAGCUAUUGAUCAAGACUCGGUCUACAACCGACUCAGGUGGUCCAAGUAUCCACCAACAAUAUUACCACUAGUGAAAUAAAUCACCACUCCUCGAGCCUCACCAAGCCGUACCGGGCAUACUCGUCUCGACGAGGGACUAGGGACAAGCUCGUGUCUACCCAAGACCACGACUUUCCCGGCUUCCUACCGGUGUGCAAGAGAAGCUCACGAGGAUGACCCAAAUCAUUAGUGUAUCCAUUGCUGACCACAAAACAACUCCAAAGUGCACUCAUGCACGAGACCAUAUCGAUACAUAAAGCUAUCACAUACUCCAAGUCCAAAGGUGUUGUGAUCGUAUCAAAACACCACAACAAAAAUAUUAUGCCAGAGUUCAGAAAUGCUUGCCUUCAAGAGUAUGCAAAGGAUGCACUUAUUGGAAGCUUUCCUUUUCCUCCAAAAAUCCUAUUUUGCAAAACACACAAAUAACAAAUAUUUCAAACACAGUACCAAAACCUGUCUCAAAUAUUUUUGAAAUAAAUCUUAAAAUAAACUAGAUGAAAUUUGAGAGAGGUAGGAAAAAGAAUCAACUCAUUUGGAGUUUUAUUUAAAAGUUAUAGCCAGUCAAAGUUUGGUCAAACUCUGUUUUUAAAUAAAACCAGCAAAAGAAAACGAUUCAAAAGAAAAAUGCGCUUUCGCAGUCGAGGAGACGCACCCGGGAGUUUGCACCUUCACUUAAACAGAGAGAGGGCGGCUGCGCGAGUCACUGACAGUGGGUCCAGAGGGCCCACUGGUCAGGUUUGACCGUUUCUUCCCUCCUUCUCCUCUCUUCUGCCCUACGGGAGCGGGGCUCCGGCAAUCGCCGUCGACGAGCGCCAGCGCCUCACGGGCAUCCAAGGGCGGGGGUGGAACGGCUAGACCGAGGCGGUCCUCUAGGUGGUGGUUGGGUCGACGGAGGUGGCAGGAAUCGCCGGCGGCGAGCUCCGCGGCGGAGGAAAGCUACGGUGGUGAAGUGACAUUUGGGUUCCGGUGAUCCUUGGCCGAAGCUGAGGUGCUAGGCAGCUCCGCACGACUACGGGGAAGUUCUUGGUGGCGCUGGUGGGGCGAAAGAGCGGCUGGUUGCGACGAAUCGCACCGGGGCUUGGCGACGGCCGAGCUGGCCGGAGUUGAGGAAGAUGGCCACUACGGGUUGAUCUACUGCGUGGGAAGCUCUACGGGGAGUGUCUGAUGUCGCCUGAAGCCUUGAACGAGCUCGGGGUUCCCUUUUAUAACAUGACAAGGCUGGCUCCGUGGCGGCAGAAGAUAAGAUCGCCGGCGACCACUUUCCUGUAGUUGCAGGGUAUCGUGGCGGCGACGAACGCGUGCCGACGAGCGGGAGGAUAAGAACGGCCUGUGCUCUGGGGCAGCUGGCGUGCGCUGGUGGUUUGGGCGGCGCUGUCCGCGGCGGAAUCUGCUGCCGACGCCGGCAUGCUGCCAAGGCGGCGCUGCAGGGUGCCAGGGGUUGCUUGGAGUGUACUGGAGAGAGGGCGAGUGCGUGGCGGGGUUCGGCAGGCGAGCAGGGGUCAGAGAUGGGACGCGACGAGGGCGGCAGUGCGGUGUGUCGGCGUAGUGCGCGCGCGUGCAAAACGUGCGCUCUGGGUGCGCCCAGAGCACGCACGGCACCUGUUCGACGAAAUGCCAGCGCGCUCUAGAGCUCGAGGGUGGAGCUGGCGCUGCACAGGAAAGAGGUAGGGGUAACAAGGCACUCAGUGGACAAGGUGGAUCGGUCAGGGGUUCAAGCCCAUAAUGCAAACCAGAGAGCUUGCCAAAAAGGACUGUGCACACCAGGUGUUCGACAGAAUGCCAGAUGCACUUAGGCAACUCUUGGAGUGGCCAAAAUCUCCAGAUCAGUGUCUCUUUCGAUGCAGAAGAUGGUGGUAAGAUCACUUGGGCAAAACCAGAAACUUGUUAGUGUAAGUUUUGCAAAACUCAAGUUUUGGACAGAAAGAAAAAGGGUUUAAAGCAUGCACUUCAAAACCUCCAAUGAGCCCAAUCUCCUGGACUUAAGAGUUUGGUAGGGAGGGCUACUAGUAGGAAAAAGCUCAGGGUUACUAGAGCAAAGAAAAAUAAGGUUGCAGUACAAAUCACCAAUUUAGAGCAGAAUGCAAAAGAGGCUGAUCCACUCAAAUUUUCCAAGGAACAUCACUGGGUUUUUGCUUGAAGAUGAAUGGUAUGCAUCCACUGACAUCUCCAAACACUUGGAAGAAAUUUUAAAGAAAUAUUUAAAUGGGUUGUAGUGUAAAAUACCUACUGGACUAGAUUGGAAAAGUUGGUGUGGAGUUCAAAAUCCCCAAUGACCAAAAGAUGUUUUUGCAUAAAAGUGAUGUGGGAACAUCACAUGACAUCCCCAAAUUUUGGUGGAAAAUUUGAAUGCAUUUGCCAAAUGUUUGUAGUGCAAAUAGGCUCCAAAUGCAAAAGAAAUCAUUUUAUAAGAACAAAGUUUUGAGAAAGUAAAUCUUGCAACAUUUGAAUCCACUGAUAAAUAAUUGUUUUAUUAUAGAGAGAAAUCAAGUCCAACAAUACCUUUGAAGGUUUUUCCCACAAGAGGUAUAAAUCCAAAAUCACAAAAGGUAGAACUUGACAAUUGGAAAAGUUUUAUUUCCUGGCAACAUUUUAAUAAAAAAACAAGGCCAAAAUUUUGGGUGUCACACCUUGUAGGCUGAGGAUGAACAAGUACAAGGGAAGAAUAGCCUCCUGAGGGGAGGUGUUCUCGAGCUUGGUGGGCUUGUGUGGUUGAGGAUGAUCUGAAUGAUCCGUCCGUCCCCCUGCUAAGGUGGUGGCUUGUCCUAUUUAUAGAGGCUCGGGUCCUUUCCCCAAAUGUUAGGCGGGAAGGGAUCACACAACGGCCAAUUUGAAGGGGGACAGCUAGUACAAGCUAUCCUGACAAAAGGUGGUCUUUGCCUGCUAAAGGCUCUAGUGGUGACGCCGUCAUGGGCUCCGCGAUGACCUCCGUCCUAUCGUCCUGCUGGUCUUGGUCUCGUUGCAUCGAUAUGGAAACCUUUGCCUGAUGCCUCGGGACUCUUCGCCUGUGCCUGCCCCUUUAGCACCAAAGAGGAAGCCAGUACUCUGCGCCCGCUGGCGCCCGCCUGGCCUUGGUCGUCACGGCUCACGUCACGGGAACCUCACGAGGUGCCCCUCGCCUUGAUCUCUCCGCUCCUCGCGAGCCAUCCUAGUGAGGCCGCCCCUGAGGAGGUCUUGUGUCGUCUGCCUCGCGAGGCUUGGCCCCUCGCAAGGGUCUUGAGUGUUUGCUGGUGAAGAUGGGCCGUACCAGGCCGCUAGAGGAGCCACGCCGUGGGCUACAGGCAGGCAAGUCUAGGGACCCCCAUUCCCAGAACGCUGACAAAUUCCGACAUGGCUACCAUAGCAUGUGCCUCCACCCCUACAUCAAACUUCUUUGAGAAUUAUUCAAGCGACGAUGAAUCUCCUGCUUACUGCUUCAUGGCCAAAGCUUCGAAAUAAAAGAUAUCCUCCAGACAUCACAAUGUUCACUCAAGUGAUCCAAUAUUGUUCGGAUGAGGAUGAGCAUGCUAAACUGAUCAAAAUUGCUAAUUACAACAAAACUCUCUUGAGAAAAUUGCCCUCAGGAAAUCUGAAGGGUUGUUGGUUGAGGAGAUGGAGAAAAAUUGGUCGUUGUCGGAUCACGGGUUCCGGCAAAACCCUUAAGGUUCGAACUCUGGGGUGCGCGCGAAGUUCUUUCCCUACCGAUCCACGUCCUAGCUUGCUAAGAUCUCACGGACGAGCUCGACGAACUCGCAACACAAGGGACACAAGAUUUAUACUGGUUCGGGCCACCAUUUUGGUGUAAUACCCUACUCCAGUGUGGUGGUGGUGGAUUGCCUCUUGGGCUGAUGAUGAACAAUACAAGGGGAAGAACAGCCUCCUGAGGUUGAGGUGUUCUUGUGCUCUGUGUGUGGGUGAGGUUUACUCUGGAUCAGAUCGAGCUGCCUCCGAAUGAGUUCUCCCCUACGGUGGUGACUAGUUCUACUUAUAUAGGCCCUGGUCCUCUCCCCAAAUAUUGAGCGGGAAGGGAGCCAACAAUGGCCAAUUUGAAAGGGGACAGCUAGUACAGCUUAUCCUGACAAAAGCGGUCUUUGCCUGCAAAAGGCUCUGGUGGUGACGCCGCCUUGGGCUCAAUGGUGACCUCCGUCUUGCCGUCCGGCUGGUCUUGGUCUCGUUGCACCGAUAUGGAAACCUUUACUUGACGCCUCGGUACUCCGCGCCUGCGCUUGCUUCCUUGGCACCAAAGAGGAAACAAGGACACUGCGCAUGCUGGCGCCUGCCUGAUCUUGAUCGUCAUGCCUCACGUCACGAGAACCUCGCGAGGUUUGCCUCGCCUUGAUCUCUCCGCUCCUCGCGAGCCAACCUGGUCAGGCCGCUCCUGCGGAGGUCUUGUGUCGUCCACCUCGCGAGGCCUGGCCCCUCGCGAGGGUCUUGAACGCCUUGUUGAUGAAGAUGGGCCGUACGGGCCCACGCACAGAGCCACGCCGCGGGCCGCAGGCAGGCAAGUCUGGGGGCCCCCGUUCCCAGAACUCCGACAGUAGCCCCCGGUCCCAAGGCGCGCUCGGGCUUGGCUUCAAGGCGAAGCCAAAGGUCAAGUGCGGAGCGCCGCGGGCCCCAAAAGCCUGCGGCCUUGGUCGACGCGUGGCGGUUGAUUGGACAUGGGCGUCUCCGCUUCCCCAUGCCGCCUCGGCAACUGCCCGACUUGACAAGUCCCUGCGACAUGCAAGGGAAAACCAUCAUUACCUGUGAUCGUGGGAGGCACCGGUUGGCCUUCUCCCUCUAUAAAUGGGAAGGGGGAAGAGCCCCCGUCGCCCAUCUCUUCCCAGUCCGCUUGCUUCUACCUCCUUGCUCCUCUGCUAGUAGCAAUGGCGCCGAUCCGAAUGUUCUCCACCGAGGAGAAAGGAAAGGCUCCCCGCGACGAGCCAGGGCCGCUUCCACCGAAGAAGAGGCCAGCCCACCGUCACGACAUUGUCGUGAGGGCAGAAGUGACGAGGCCCUGGUGUGAACGGCCGCCUCCAGGGUAUCCGCUGCCCCUGUACGCCCAAGCCGAGGGCUCAGGAGGAAGGAGCAACGGCGGCACCGCCCGCGCCGCGGCCGCGGCCGCCACGCCAUGGCGACACGCAUCGUCGCCCCUGGAAUCCAUGCUGCGGACUCCUCUAGCGAGCUCGUGCUGUGGGUGGCGAUGCCCCCAAGCACCUGGAUCCGCUUCCCGCGGUUCUUCUCCGACGUGAUGCCGCCGAGGGGACCCCUCGAGCUCUGGUUGCAGCAUGCUGACUGCAACGUCCCGGCGACCGGAGCAGAGGUUGAAGUGGUCUCCUCCGGCAAGAUCUUCAUGACCCGCGGCUGGGGCGAGGUUGCGCGGGUUUGCCGUGUUGAGGGCACCCUCACGAUCCACUUUGAUUAUGACGGCUGUCGGUGUCAAAACCGGCGGAUCUCGGGUAGGGGGUCCCGAACUGUGCGUCUAAGGCUAAUGGUAACAGGAGGCGGGGGACACACUGUUUACCCAGGUUCGAGCCCUCUCUAUGGAGGUAAUACCCUACUUCCUGCUUGAUUGAUCUUGAUGAUAUGAGUAUUACAAGAGUUGAUCUACCACGAGAUCAUAGAGGCUAAACCCUAGAAGCUAGCCUAUGAUUAUGAUUGUUCUUGUCUCUAUCGACUAGCCUGGCCUCGGUUUAUAUAAUGCACCAGAGGGCUAGGAUAACAAGAGUCCUAGCCGAAUACGCCGGUGGGGAGGAGUCCUUGUCUUGAUCACCAAGUCUUGUGGAAUCUUCCUUGUAUGCGGCAGCUGUCCGAACUGGCCCAUGAGUAUACGGCCAUGGGGGUCCUCGGCCCAAUCUAACAGAUCAGGGGAUGACGUGGUGAGUACCCCCUAGUCCAGGACACCGUCAGUAGCCCCCUGAACAGGUCUUCAAGUUAGGGACGCUCCUCGAUUCUUCCAAACUGUUCUUCAUCUUCGGUCGUCGGUCUUGAAAACUGGUUCAACAAAUUUUCCCAUCAUCUGUCUUGAGGAUUGCCGAGCUAAAUCUGACGAGUUUAUACGUCGGGUAUCCGAGGAGCCCUUUAAAUCUUCGGCCUUUACCUAUGCCUUGUUAUUUUUAUGCAACGCCUCGAGUUUGAACUUGUUCCCGUGCGGCGGUGUCCUCUUGCAUCCGAGCCCCAACGCCAGACUGCAUUCGAGGUAUCCUUUGCAGCCAAGCACCAACGCCGGACUGUGUCCAAGCUCCAACGCCGGACUGUAUCCGAGCUCCAACGCCAGACUAGAUUCGAGGUGUCAUAGAUCACCUUGGUUCAAAAAAGUUGAAGGAGUUUAGCCGAGCUUAAUGCCGGAAAUGCCCUCUAUGGAGCCAGCCACUGGCGCCCGAGCUUUAUGUCGGACUGCUUCCGAGGUGGUGCACCACCCGACAGCGGGCUGAUUUUUUGUGAAUAUUUUUGAUUGGUGCAAUUUAUUCUCUGCCGAGAUAUGUAGCCAGUAUAAGUAUAUCCAGUAGCCCGCAAGGUGUGUGUCGGUCUAAAACCCGAGAUGCACCUGAAGGAAAACAUAAAACUGCUGAUCCUAGUAGCCCCUGAGACUCAUGUCGAUUUGCGAAAUCGGCCUGAGGAUCAACUCCUAGCUCGGCAGCAUACAUAGGAAUAGAAACACAGUGUAAUAUAUUAGAAAUAAUAAUGAUCAGCGGACGGGCCCCUAAGAGAGGGUCGUGAGAAGUCGCCGUGAUAUAUUAGCUUGAUGCCAGAUAGGUCCAGAUGGUACUUAUUGUUGUCCGAAGAUGCGCUUUCCCAUAGUUCGAUCAAGCCGAACACUGAGCCCUUUGAAUUUUCUACAUUGAAUAGGCAAUGAAGUAGCCCCCGAGACACUGGUCGGGUGGCAACACCAGAUCAGGGGAUCGAUGUGCCCCUUUAAUAUUUGUAAAUAAUGAGCGCAAAGCCCAGUAGCCCCCCAGCCUUAAUGUGGGCACGGGUGGCCGAACUAAGGAUCGAUAUCCAGAGUAAAAUCACAGAUUAUGUGUAAUGAUUCUAUGUAUCCAAGUACUUUACAUCAUUAUUUUGACUCCAUUGCGACCGUUUAUCAGUUGAAAGUGGCCCAUCGUUGGCUUCUACCCCUUUGUAGAUGCUACGCAGGGUGUUUCCGCAAUAACAAGAGAACCCUUAGUCGAUGUCUCGGUGCCCGAAGGCGGUUGUGUUAGCGGAAACGAGGCAAUCAGAUAUGCGGGCUUUAUAACUUUCGCUUAGUCAUAGGAGCUUUAAACUGGGGAAGCUAGCUAUGAGCCCCCGGUUAGUGUUCGGCGACAUCCGAGGUCAAGCCGUAAACACUUCGGCCAAUGUUAUGAACCGGCCAUCAUUUAACAUAGUCAUCGGAUCGCUGACCAGUUUACACUUAUUGUGACAGUCAGUUUUCGGCUUUCUCCACUGAGGUGCUUAACCAUGCGAGCUGGAAGCAUAAUCGCAGUGGUUCUCCCUUUGCACACCUAGCCGAACAAAGCGUAACGUGGGAGGCAAGCACAGGAGCCGGGCAACCCAACUAUUGACCAAAGACACAAUUCGAAACCAAUGCAUAUAUAGUAGUGUCCGAGAAUGUUUUUGCUGAAUCUCUAAAGGUGUCCGGCGUUGCACUGCGAGACUUAUGCUGGAAACACACAAAUAGUUUAAAAGUGCCACAGGCUUGGAAAACCAAAAAACUUCAGUAAAAACUGGACUUCUGAACUACAACAAGUGUUCGGUGCCAAAUGGAAAAUUGGUCUUAGAAAAAAAAGGUGCUUCAGUCGUGCUUUAACAUGACACAUCCUAUCUCAAGACUUCAAGCGGGUCAGCCUACGGCUUCAACCUCCUAUCCCGAAGGCGGAGUACUUCUCGUUAGGCCAGUUUAGUAAACUGAUCUCUAGCGGUUUUGUGAGAGAAAUUAGGCUCCCCAGCUAGUGACCACACACUCGUGUCGAGAAAGGGAGUGGUAAAUAAUAAUAAAAAACUAUGCAACGACUAAGAAGAAGAACACUUAUUAUAAAACGGCUCAUAUAAAUUUAAGAGCCCCCAAGUGACUUGGGUAAAAGAAUUUUAUGUAUAAUGAUUGUAUGUACCGAAGUACUAAUAUCGUAUCUUUGUUCACCCGAACUUUAAACGCGUCUUAACUGACCGUCGGCUUCUCCCUCUUCGGUCAAGGACCGAAAGGUGUUAUGUACUCCACCUGUCGAAAAUAUCGACGGUGUUUCCGAUAACCAGGCAAUCAGGCCAUAAGGCUGUAAUAGACAAAGCGCGCUCAGGGAGCUUAUGCUAUAUUACUGACGAAGUGUAAGAAGCAUCUUCGAAGAAAAUAGUACCCCCACCGAUACCUUUCUUCGGUUGCUCAUUGUUACUAUGAGACUUGUGCAAUAGAUUUUUUGUACUCAUGAGUUCCGUUGUGUGCCAACCAUAAUUGAAAACAAUAAGAGCGCUAGCUUUCGGCUUCACCUAGUCUGAGGUCCGAGCUCGGAUGACCCGAUCGUGACAAUCGCAGAGGUGCUCCCUUUACUCCCUAGCCGAACAAUCGGGAACGUAGGGGUAAACACAGGAGCGAGGCAAUCCAGCUUGCAAAUCGCUUAAGUCAAUAUGGUGCAUAUUGUGGCAUAAUACACGAACAAGGAACGAAGCCGUACAAGUAUAAUCACAUGCGAGAGGAAAGGCUUCAUGAAGGAAGCCCCCAAGUAAACAGGGUAUUUGAAUUUAUGCGUCACAAACAAAGUUUUGACAAGGAAGUAUAAUGCUUGGUCGAACCGAACAAAAUUUAAAACCGAAAGUUUUUUUAGCAUGAAAGCGGCUUAGCUGAUUAAUGUGUUCGGUAUUGAUGACGUUGUCCAAGCUUGAUGCGGGACAAAGUUCCAUCCCCCAAGCCGGUCCCAAGGUGGAGGAGCGAAGAGCUCAGCACUCCGAAGUGGUGGCAUAGCACGGCCAAUGCAGGCCGGCAGAGUGAUGCUGAAGCCCCUGGUGUGGGCUAAUGAAGUGUUGACAAAGCCCCCCCCCUGUCCAGCCGAGGAGACAGCACUGCCCAACCCGAAUCAUUUACCUGUGCACAAAAAAAAUAGUGCAAACCGGAGAUGAUAGUAAUAAUAAUAAAAUUAAAAAAUGUUGCAUAAUGAAUAAUUUAUGCAAAGUGAGUAAUAAAAGAAAUAUGGCAUGUGCGUCGAACACUCGGUGAGGUAGAGCUCUCUCGGCGAUGCCGAAGUCCCCGAGGCAACCGAACACGUCGGUAUGGCGACACGACGAACAAGGUGAUCACGCGAGCCAAUUUACGCUGAUUGGGACGACGGCGUCGGCUUGCCGAAGAGACCACGUGACGCAGUCGAAGUCCAUUACUUCACAGGUCGGUCCGAGUUCCGGAUGCGGCGUUCGCCGGACUAUGUACGGAAACUGACCGAACCACCAUGCGACCGUCGUUAGUGCGGCCACCAUUCGAUAGACCUGUGUACAGAUGAUGGAACAAACCAGAGUAAUAAUUUCUUGGGAAAAUAAACCCAAACAAGCAAAAAUUACUAGGAUUAAUAGCACCUGGUUUAUUUGUUGUAGCAAUCCGAAGAAAGGUGACUCCAAAAAUUGGGACAUGAUCCGCACACCCAUUGCCUGACGGGCGAUAAAGCGACGGCAUGGCGACGCUGGCAAAGGUUGGCUUGCCGAGGCAAAGCCCUCGGUCCAGCCAACAUGACGAGGCGGGUCGACUAGUGACGGCGAAGUCUCUGGAGUAGGUUGAUGAAGAGGUGGCGGAGCCCCCGGUCCAGCCGAGAUGUCGAAGCCUCGAUGUCAGCCGAUGAGUCAAAGUAGGCCGGCGUGAUGGACAUCGGCUUGAAAAAGCAACAGUGUGGCCCUGCCGAUGCCGGUCGUGACGUGGUCAAUGCCGGCUUGAUGAAGUGACUGUGCGGCGAUGCCGGUGUGCCCACUCCGUGUAAUCCGUGGGGCGGCGAUGUUGGUGAUGAUUUAUCCUUCGCGAUGCCGAACUCUUGUUCGGCUUGCCGAGAUGAUGAUCCGAAGAAGUUGAGCUCGGCUCAAUAAAGUGACAACGUGUCUAGCGCAGGUCGGCUGCCGUAGAGCAACAUUGUCGGGCUGGUUUGACACCAGCACGAUGGUGAAGAUCAUAUUGGAAAAGACUUCAAAAUUAGCGGAAUGUGUUUGGGAACAAAAAACAAUACCCAAUACAAAACUUCCUUCAAAAAGGAAGUCCGAAAUCCCGUUCAUAAAAAAGAUGAAUUCGGGUCGGAUUCGUCCUCGCGCAGAAAAUAGAUCCGAAAAGUGAUGCACUAAUCGGAAGGUUCCCGGAGUUUGGACAGUCGGAUCGAGCUGAAAUUUUGAGGGGUGGUAGAUAUAGGAAUUCCUCGGCCGAUCAACGGUUGGAUCUUCCAAAGGACGUCCGAGCUAGAAGCUGGACACCACGCCCUAAACUCGUCGAGAUUCCCGUCCAGUUUUGACGGGGCUCCGGUAUAUCGCAGAUGGCCAGAGAUUCCUCCAUCGGAACUCGACGAAAUUUUCCAGGGUCAUUGUAGACUCAAUUCCGCACAAUUCCACCGAAGCAAUUGUUAAAACAACACUUGAGGAGACGGUGGCGGCGGAUACAAGUUCCUGUCCAGAAAAACAGCACGGUCGCCCGAGGGCAAUGUUGACGUUGAGCCCCCGGGCUCCCUGGAUGAUUCUUCCAUGAUCUUGAUAGAGAUCGGAGUUGAUGUUGAUGAAGGCCCUCAUCCGAACAUGACGAUCGGAGGUAGGGUGCAGCCCUCGGUCCAGCCAAGGUGACCAGCCGAGCCGGUGACGAAGAAGCCGACGUCGCAGUUGAUCUACAGUCGAGCCAUUGAUCCUUUUGCCGAUCACACAGCGGAACUCUCAAUGAAAGCACCAAUGUCGGUGUCAAAACCGGCGGAUCUCGGGUAGGGGGUCCCGAACUGUGCGUCUAAGGCUAAUGGUAACAGGAGGCGGGGGACACAAUGUUUACCCAGGUUCGAGCCCUCUCUAUGGAGGUAAUACCCUACUUCCUGCUUGAUUGAUCUUCAUGAUAUGAGUAUUCCAAGAGUUGAUCUACCACGAGAUCGUAGAGGCUAAACCCUAGAAGCUAGCCUAUGAUUAUGAUUGUUGUUAUCUCUAUCGACUAGCCUGGCCUCGGUUUAUAUAAUGCACCAGAGGCCUAGGAUAACAAGAGUCCUAGCCGAAUACGCCGGUGGGGAGGAGUCCUUGUCUUGAUCACCAAGUCUUGUGGAAUCUUCCUUGUAUGCGGCAGCUGUCCGAACUGGCCCAUGAGUAUACGGCCAUGGGGGUUCUCGGUGAGUACCCCCUAGUCCAGGACACCGUCAACGGCACCUCCACGCUGUUCUUCAAGGUCUUCGAUGCGGAGGGCCGCCGCCUGGAGUGCUGCCCUGGAGGGGAGUGCCAAGACGAUGUGUGCCUGGCCUUCGGCUCCUCCAGCAGCAGCGACUCUUGGGCGUCCAGCGGUUCUCCUGAGCUCUACGAGACCCCGGAGACGAGCGACGACAGCUACGUGCCCCCGAGCUCUCGUCACGCCCGGAGCAGGGCUGUGGCGUCCGGCCGCGGCCGCCGCUGAUCUGGAUGGGGUUGGCGCCGGCCUCCCGCGGCCCACUGUUGAUGACAGCGUCGGCCACGGGAGGGUGUAGAUAGGGUUCCCCUAAGUUCUCGUCUUUUGUUCCCUGCGAGGAAUCAAAGUACCCCGUGGGGUGUGUAAAGGGCCUAUAAUGUCUUUUGUUGAUACUAUCCUUGUUAUGAAAAUUUGCGAAUGCAUGCUCUGUUUAGGCUCGGUCUCCCCUUUCCAACCUCGCGACUGCUCGUUGCUCUACGCUGACAGGUCCAGGUCCCCAGGCAAGCUGCAGCCGUCGUUGGUAUGCCAGGUCGCGUGUCAUGGUCAAGGCCAGAAGGUGAGCGGCCCAACGUACAGUAAGAGCCCCUCGGGCGCGAUGCUCAGGAGGUCCCCUUUAGCGCUCAAGCAGCCGGGGUAAGGUAAGAAAGGGAGGCGACGUUGCCGCAACAGGGUUGCGGCGAGCGUGACUCCUAGGCUCCAGCGAUUAGCCGGUCUGAGCGCGAGACUUAUCUUGGCAGUCUGGCUUCGACUCCUUGCGAUGCGCUGUGUUAAUGCAUAGCUAGGCCAGGCCCAUGCGAGCCUCCCCCUCUUCUCCACGCUCUCCUUCAUGCUCUGCGUCCUCGGGUCCCGGCCCUCGAGCGAGCUCAGCCGCCACUGGUAUGCCAGGUCGCGUGCCAUGGUCAAGGCCAGGGGGUGAGGGCUGGAAAGCCAGUAGGAGCUCUUGAGUCGCGAUGCUCAGGAGCCCCCCUUUUAACAUGCAAGCGGGUUGCAUGGGAGAAGAGGGAGCUCGCGGUGCCGCCUGCUGUCAUUCUCAUGAGAUUCCUGCGAGCCAGCACAAGGAGAAACACAGUUUAACAUUAUGGUUGUCAGUCCGCCCGGUUACUUAGCGAGGAGACGAAAGCACUGAGGGCCUGGUGAGGUGACGUGCGCGGGGCGUGCCGCGAGCCAGAGCUCGACCGCUCAGAUUUGUCGACGUUGCAGGGAUGGACCCGCGCACAAGUGCCGUGCCAGCGUGAGCAGCCCCCGUGGGAGGUGAGAGUCAAAGAGGUGAUAGUCACAGGCAGGUUAGGCAUGGAAAGCAAACUGGCUUAGGUAAAUGCAGGGAAGAUACAUGCCACCGGGCCCGGCCCGAGCGGCUUGGGGAUGAUGCAGCCCGAGGGACGCCCCCAGCAAGGUAAGCUAAAGACAUAAGAAAAAGGGGUACAUGCCACAGGGACGGACCCACGCGGCCUGGGAAUGAUGCAGCCCGAGGGGCGCUCCCAGCUAAAUGAACUUGGAAAAUGUCACCUGGUUCUGCCGAUGAAGGGAUGUCGGGGUAGCUGAAGGUACGAGGCGAAGGAGUUGCUCCUCACGAGACACCGGGGCCCUGAGCCUUAGGAGGCUCUGGGGGCCCAGGUGGUUCCUUGAGGAUCGUCUCCAUCUCCGUCAGGACAGCGUGAUGCCUGGCCUCCUGAGUCGCCAGGACGCGCCGCAAGUUGCGCUGAUAGGCGAAUGACACGCUCGGCAAGCCAAAAGGCAUGCGAACGUAGCUGUGCGGUGGACCCUCGCAGCGGCCCACGCGCGAAGGCCAGAAGGGCUCCUGAGAUGCGGCCCUGUUGAGCCCUGGGACGUCGAUGCAGACGCGCAGCCCGGCAUCCUCGCCUGGAUGGGGAGCUGCGCCUCGCGAGUGGCGGUCGCCGCGCAUGGCCCUUGCCUCUUGCAGUUCCUGAGUGGUCUUGGUAAUGAACUCCUCAGCGAUGGGCGCUCCUCGCCCUGUGUUCUCCUGAGGGAAACGUGCCAUGAAGCACGCCUCCACGUGGUGCCCAAGUGCCUCCCUCGUGACGUUGGCAAGGUCUGAGGCCCUCCAGAAGAGAGCCCCCGAGCCCUGCCCGAGAAGGGCAUCGGGCGCGCCUUCCUAUGCGAUGGAGGGAGGCGCGCCUGGCGCGGGCGCUGAUCCUGACGAGGUUCCAGUCGCGACGCCGCCCUCCUGAGGUCCUGCAUAGCGCAGCUGCUUCUUCUUCUUGGGGGUGGCCUCGGGAGGGCACUCGCCCUUGCUGUCGGGGUCGUCGAUUGCUGCAGCUUGAAAGGCACGCUCAAGGGAGCACACCGCAUCUCUUUCUUCACAUGGGACCGUGAUGAUUCCGCCGCUUCCCAGCAUCUUGAGGACAUUGUAACCGUGAUGGGUCACCGCCAUGAAUUUGGCCAGGGCUGGAUACCCGAGGAUGGCGUUGUACGGCGGACGGAUGUGCGCGACAUCGAAGUCGAUGAGUUCGGUGCGGUAGUUCUUGCGUUCUCCGAAGGUGACGGGAAGGCAAACCUGCCCGAUCGGGGUAGUGGAGCCGUCGGGCACUCCUGAGAAAGGUUUGGUGGGCUGAAGCUGGUCAUACGGCACUUGGAGGUUGUUGAACGUGUCGACGGACGGGAUGUUGAGCCCUACGCCACCGUCGAUGAGGGUCUUGGUAACUUGCACGUUGCUGAUGACUGGGGAGCAAAGCAUCGGGAGGGCGCCUGCGGUGGCCGCGCACUUGAGCUGAUCCGCCGGACUAAAGAUGAUGGCGCACUUGGACCACCUGAGCGGGCAUGUGGCCUCAAGCUUGGGGAGGACUGCAUUCACUUCACGAGCAAACUGUUUGAAGAUACGCUGCGAGGCUGGGGCCUGAGCUCCGCCCAAGAUGCAGGCGAUAGCACGUGGCUCCUGGAAGCCCCCAGUUCCCUCGUCUUGAUGGUGGUCGUCAUUCCUUCUUGGCGGCAGUGGUAGUGGAGGAAGACCGGCGUUGCCCUGAGGACGAUCCUCACGAGGCUGGUCCCUCCAGGCGCCCUCGCGAGGCUGAUCCUGCGAACGGUCCUCACGAGGCCUGUCGCGCCACUCCUGGCGCGGGCCACGGUCCUCCCAGCGUCCGCCACCAUGUCCUCCUCCUCGUCCGUAUCCCCGGUUGUUGCGCUCGGGGCGUCGGCCGAAGCGUCCUUCUCGGAUGGCUCCGAGCUCUUGACAGUCGCUGGUGUUGUGGGUAUGCAGGUUAUGGAAGGUGCGGAACGGUCGGCUGCCCUUUGAUGACUCGGGUUGAUCUCUGCCGUGCUUGGUGUCCGGCUCCGCCGCGAGCACGGCUUCUCCCUUGCGCUUUACGUCCUUGGCCUUGGCUUUCUUCUCCUCCGGGUCCGCAGCCGGGAGCUCAAGGAAGGAGAGGCGCCCUUCCUCAGCUCUUGCGCACUUGGUCGCCAGGUUGAACAGCUCCAGGCAUGUGCACAGCUCCUCGUGGAUAGCGAGCUCCUCCUUCAUCUUGACGUCACGGAUGCCAUCAGAGAACGCGGAGAUGAUGGCCUCGUCCGUCACCUUGGGGAUCUUGAGACAAACGUUGUUGAAGCGCUGGAUGUACUUCUGGAGGGUCUCUCCUGGCUGUUGCUUGACGCGGCGCAGGUCACCUGCGGCCGGUGGGCGGUCGCGAGUGCCCUGGAAGUUGGUGAUGAAGCGGUCGCGCAUCUCGUCCCAGGAGGAAAUCGAGCCUGGAGGCACGUUCAGGAGCCACGUACGGGCGCCGUCUUUGAGCGCCAUAGGGAACCAGUUCGCCAUGACUUUCUCGUCAUCGUUGGCCGCCUCGAUGCUCAGCUCGUAGAGCUGCAGGAACUCCGCGAGGUCGGGGGUGCCGUCGUAGCGAGGAGGCAGAUCUGGCUUGAACUUGCCCGGCCAGGCGACGCUACGCAGCUCGGGGGUGAAGGCGCGGCAGCCAGCCAUGGUCACCGGGGCCCGUCUUGGAGGUGGAGCUUGGUCUUGGCGCCCGCGCACCGCUACGGCAAGCGGCGCGGGGCCUUGCCGUGGCAAACGAUCCUAGCGCGGCGGUGCGAGGAGUGGCGGAGCGUUCUCUUGCGGUCGAGGGACUUCUUGACAGCUUCUUUCUUCACGCGCGGGCGCCGGAUGCGGUGGGUCACGCCGCGGAGCCGCGCGCCUUGGCGCCAGGGCGCCGUCUUGGUGCAGAGGUGGUGGAGGUGCUCCGUGAGCUACGUCGCCCGUAGCUGGCGGAGGGCGAGGCAGUGAGAGGGACGGCGCGGCGGAGCCCCCUGCGGCACUGACGAGCUCGGUGAUGCGGUUGAGCCAGUUCUCGUAGAGGUCAUCGACCGGACGGUAACGCAGGAGCUCGUGCGCCAUGAGGAGCACGGCCCAUGCGUCCGUGGGUGCGUGACGAGCGUGGGACGACGAACAAGCGGGAGUCAGCGAUGGAGUGGCGGUGCGGCCGUCCUGUCGCACCGAGGGGUGCAACAAGGACGCUUGCUGCUCGUUCCCCAUCGGGCCGGUGGCGGCAUUGGCGGCAGGCGAUGGAGAACGACGGGGUGGCCCGCCGACAGGGGCCGUCUGAGCAACGCGGGUGGCGAGGGCAGCCCGACGCUCGGCGCGGGCGCGGCGUGCGUCCGUCAUGGGGACGAUGAAGCGGCGUGACGCGGAGCGACGGAAGGGAAGCUUCGGCGCAACCCUACCUGGCGUGCCAAAUGUCGGAUCAUGUGUUCCGGCAAAACCCUUAAGGUUCGAACUCUGGGGUGCGCACGAAGUUCUUUCCCUACCGAUCCACGUCCUAGCUUGCUAAGAUCUCACGGACGAGCUCGACGAACUCGCAACACAAGGGACACAAGAUUUAUACUGGUUUGGGCCACCGUUGUGGUGUAAUACCCUACUCCAGUGUGGUGGUGGUGGAUUGCCUCUUGGGCUGAUGAUGAACAAUACAAGGGGAAGAACAGCCUCCUGAGGUUGAGGUGUUCUUGUGCUCUGUGUGUGGGUGAGGUUUACUCUGGAUCAGAUCGAGCUGCCUCCGAAUGAGUUCUCCCCUACGGUGGUGGCUAGUUCUACUUAUAUAGGCCCUGGUCCUCUCCCCAAAUAUUGAGCGGGAAGGGAGCCAACAACGGCCAAUUUGAAAGGGGAUAGCUAGUACAACUUAUCCUGACAAAAGCGGUCUUCGCCUGCAAAAGGCUCUGGUGGUGACGCCACCUUGGGCUCCAUGGUGACCUCUGUCUUGUCGUCCGGCUGGUCUUGGUCUCGUUGCACCGAUAUGGAAACCUUUACUUGACGCCUCGGUACUCCGCGCCUACGCUUGCUUCCUUAGCACCAAAGGGGAAAAAAGGACACUGCGCGUGCUGGCGCCCGCCUGGCGCCCGCCUAAUCUUGAUUGUCAUGGCUCACGUCACGAGAACCUCGCGAGGUUUUCCUCGCCUUGAUUUCUCCGCUCCUCGCGAGCCAACCUGGUGAGGCCGCUCCUGAGGAGGUCUUGCGUCGUCCGCCUCGCGAGGCCUAGCCCCUCGCGAGGGUCUUGAACGCCUUGUUGAUGAAGAUGGGUCAUACGGGCCCACACACAGAGCCACGCCGCGGGCCACAGGCAGGCAAGUCUGGGGGCCAGCCUUCCCAGAAUGCUGACAGUCAUUGACAGUAGAGCAUUCCGACCUCGAGUCACGAAUGGAGUAACUGUCAAAUCGUCAUGAUUUCUCUCGGCCGACCAAGAGAGAUUGACUUAUGAUUACCUGAAAAGGAAAUAGGAACUCGAUUCGCUGAGAGAGGCUCAUGAUGACAUGAUCAGAGAACAUUCUCUUCUCACCCAACAACUCAAAGAGAAACCUGAAGUGUUUAUACCACCUUGCUUAAAAUGCCUUGAACGCUGCAAUGCCGAAUCAAUUGUUGAAUCUUCUAUGAAUGCUAACCCCUUUGUCGAGGAAAAUGGUUAUGUGUGUGAUGAGAAUGCUAGGUUGAAGGAUCUUAUUCAGACAGGAAUGUUCAAGUCUCUCAAAGGGCAUCAAACCCUUUGUGAUGUUCUGAAGAAAUCCAUUCUUCACAAAGAUCCCAGGAAAGAAGGUUUCGGUUUCGAAAGGAACUAAAUGAAAAUGGCUCCUAAUGGGAACCUGAUCAAUAUCCUCGCACUGUGUGGGUGCCUGCCAAGAGAAAAACACUAGAUCCAGCAUUACUUUCGGGAUAUGACUCUCCUAUCCCCGAAUACUCUUACGAUGAUUCUCUGGAAAACUAUAAGCCGUUCAAAAACCAACGUGGUGAGGCUGUUGCUCGCUAUGUUGGACGAAACAGCAGGAAUGCCUAGGAAAACUAUCGAAGCAUUGCCUAUUACUACUCUAGUAACCAUACAGGCUGAAAAUGCUUGUUACUCCCAUGAAUUUUUUUGACAGAAUGAGUACAUGCAUACCUCAUUCAACCACUAUACUCAUUCGUUUGGAAAGAAUUUCAGUGCCUAUUCUUUUGAUUAUGCUCGCACUUCUUCGAGUAACAAUUAUGGUUAUUGAAAGAAAUCAUAUCCUGCUCGCUCUUCUGUUUCAAAGCCACCUAAUAAGAUGUGGGUGGUUAAGAAAGCCUAAUUCCUCUGCAGGACUAUGUCUCUGGGUGUACCGAAUAGAUAAUGGAUAGUGGAUGCUAAAGGAAAUAUGCCCUAGAGGCAAUAAUAAAGUUGUUAUUUAUAUUUCCUUAUAUCAUGAUCAAUGUUUAUUAUUCAUGCUAGAAUUGUAUUAACCGGAAACUUAGUACAUGUGUGAAUACAUAGACAAACAGAGUGUCCCUAGUAUGCGUCUACUAGACUAGCUCGUUAAUCGAAGAUGGUUAAGUUUCCUGACCAUAGACAUGUGUUGUCAUUUGAUGAACGGGAUCACAUCAUUACAGAAUGAUGUGAUGGACAAGACCAAUCCGUUAGCUUAGCACUAUGAUCGUUUAGUUUAUUGCUAUUGCUUUCUUCAUGACUUAUACAUGUUCCUCUGACUAUGAGAUUAUGCAACUCCCGAAUACCGGAGGAACACUUAGUGUGCUAUCAAACGUCACAACGUAACUGGGUAAUUAUAAAGAUGCUCUAUAGGUGUCUCCGCUGGUGUUUGUUGAGUUGGCAUAGAUCGAGAUUAGGAUUUGUCACUCCAUGUAUUGGAGAGGUUUCUCUGGGCCCUCUCGGUAAUGCACAUCACUAGUAACGAGAUUGAACUAGGUAUGAUGAUACCAACGAUCGAAUCUCGGGCAAGUAACAUACCGAUGACAAAGGGAACAACGUAUGUUGUUAUGCGGUUUGACCGAUAAAGAUCUUCGUAGAAUAUGUAGGAACCAAUAUGAGCAUCUAGGUUCUGCUAUUGGUUAUUGACCGGCGAUGUGUCUCGGUCAUGUCUACAUAGUUCUCGAACCCGUAGGGUCCGCACGCUUAACGUUCGAUGACGACUUGUAUUAUGAGUUAUGUGAUUUGAUGACCGAAGUUUGUUCGGAGUCCCGGAUGAGAUCAUGGACAUGACGAGGAGUCUCGAAAUAGUCAAUACAUAAAUAUUCAUAUAUUGGAAGGUUGCAUUUGGACAUCGAAAUGGUUCCGAGUGGUCCGGGCAUUUUUUUGGAGUACCGGGAGGUUACCGGAACCCCCCGGGAGAAGUAUUAGGCUUAGUGGGCCUUAUUGGAGGAGAGGAAAAAGGUCCACAAGAGAGGGGCGUGCCCUCCCCUUGCCCAAACCGAAUUGGACUAGGGGAGGGGGUCGGCCCCCCUCUUUCCUUCCCCCUCUCUCUCCCUUCCCUUUCCCUCCGUUGGAAGAAAGUAAAAGGGGGGCGAAUCCUACUUGGACUAGGAAUUCAAGUAGGACUCCCCCCUUGGCGCGCCCAACCCGGCCGGCCUCCUCUCUCCCUCCCUCCUUUAUAUACGUGGCCAGGGGCACCCCAAUAGCACAACAGACAAUCUCUUAGUCGUGUGCGGUGCCCCCUCCGCAGAAACACACCUCGGUCAUAUCAUCGUAGUGCUUAGGCGAAGCCCGGCGCCGGUAACUUCAGCAUCACCGUCGCCACGUCGUCGUGCUGACGGAACUCUCCCUCGGCCUCAACUGGAUCAAGAGUAUGAGGGACUCCAUCGAGCUGAACGUGUGCUGAACACGGAGGUGUCGUACGUUCGGUGCUAAGAUCGGUCAGAUCGUCAAGACGUACAACCACAUCAACCGUGUUGAUAAACGCUUCCGCUUUCGGUCUAUGAGGGUACGUGGACACACUCUCACCGCUCGUUGCUAUGCUUCUCCUAGAUAGAUCUUGCGUGAUCGUAGGAAUUUUUUUGAAAUACUACGUUCCCCAACAGUGGUAUCAGAGCCAGGUCUAUGCAUAGGUGUUAUAUGCACGAGUAGAACACAAUGAGUUGUGGGCGAUAAGUCAUAUUGCUUACCAGCAAUGUCUUACUUUGAUUCGGUGGUAUUGUUGGAUGAAGCGGCCUGGACCAACAUUAUAUGACCGUGUUCAUGAGACUGGUUCUACCGACGUGCUUCGCACACAGGUGGGUAGCGGGUGUCUAUUUCUCCAACUUUAGUUGAAUCGAGUUUGACUACGCCCGGUCCUUGUUGAAGGUUAAAACACCACACUUGACGAAAAAUCUUUGUGGUUUUGAUGCGUAGGUAAGAAUGGUUCUUGUUAGAAGCCCGUAGCAGCCACGUAAAACUUGCAACAACAAAGUAGAGGACGUCUAACUUGUUUUUGCAGGGCUUGCUGUGAUGUGAUAUGGUCAAGACAUGAUGAUAUAUAGUUUGUUGUAUGAGAUGAUCAUGUUUUGUAACAGUUAUCGGCAACUGGCAGGAGCCAUAUGGUUGUCGCUUUAUUGUAUGAAAUGCAAUCGCCGUGUAAUUGCUUUACUUUAUCACUAAGCGGUAGCGAUGGUCGUAGAAGAAAUAGUUGGCGAGACGACAACGAUGCUUCAACGGAGAUCAAGGUGUCAAGCCGGUGACGAUGGUGAUCAUGAUGGUGCUUUGGAUAUGGAGAUCAAAGGCACAAGAUGAUGAUGGCCAUAUCAUAUCACUUAUUUGAUUGCAUGUGAUGUUUAUCUUUUAUGCAUCUUAUUUUUUCUAAGUACAGCGGUAGCAUUAUAAGAUGAUCUCUCACUAAAUUUCAAGGUAUAAGUGUUCUCCCUGAGUAUGCACCGUUGCGACAGUUCAUCGUGCCGAGACACCACGUGAUGAUCGGGUGUGAUAAGCUCUACGUUCACAUACAACGGGUGCAAUCCAGUUUUGCACAUGCAGAAUACUCGGGUUAAACUUGACGAGCCUAGCAUAUGCAGAUAUGGCCUUGGAACACUGAGACCGAAAGGUCGAGCGUGAAUCAUAUAGUGAUGUUCACCAUUGAAAACUACUCCAUCUCACGUGAUGAUCGGACAUGGUUUAGUUGAUAUCGAUCACGUGAUCAUUUAGAUGACUCGAGGGAUGUCUAUCUAAGUGGGAGUUCUUAAAUAAUAUGAUUAAUUGAACUUAAAUUUAUCAUGAACUUAGUCCUGAUAGUAUUUGCAUAUCUAUGUUGUAGAUCAAUAGCUCCCGUAUAGCUUCCCCGUUUAUUUUUUUAUAUGUUCCUAGAGAAAAAUAAGUUGAAAGAUGAUAGUAGCAAUGACGCGGACUAGGUCCUUGAUCUGAGGAUUAUCCUCAUUGCUGCGCAGAAGAAUUAUGUCCUUGACGCACCGCUAGGUGACAGACCUAUUGCGGGAGCAGAUGCAGACGUUAUGAAUGUAUGGCAAAGCUCGGUAUGAUGACUACUUGAUAGUUUAGUGCACCAUGCUUUACGGCUUAGAACCGGGACUUCAAAAAUGUUUUGAACGCCAUGGAACAUAUAAGAUGUUCCAAGAGCUGAAAUUUGUAUUUCAGACUCAUGCCCGAGUCGAGAGGCAUGAGACCCCUGACAAGUAUUUUGCCUACAAGAUGGAGGAGAAUAGCUCAACCAGUGAGCAUGUGCUCAGAAUGUCUGAGUACUACAAUCGCUUGAAUCAAGUGGGAGUUAAUCUUCCAGAUACGAUAGUGAUUGACAGAGUUCUCUAGUCACUAUCACCAAGUUACUAGAACUUUGUGAUGAACUAUAAUAUGUAAGGGUUGAAGAAAACGAUUCCCGAGCUCUUCGCGAUGCUGAAAUCAGCGAAGGUAGAAAUCAAGAAAAGCAUCAAGUGUUGAUGGUUGACAAGACCACUAGUUUCAACUUUCAAGCAAAAGGGCAAGGGAAAGAAAGGGAACUUCAAGAAGAAUGGCAAGCAAGUUGCCACUCCCAUGAAGUAUCCCAAAGAUAGACCCAAGCAUGAAACUGAGUGCUUCUACUACAAAGGAAAUGGUCACUGGAAGUGGAACUGCCCUAGAUACUUGGCGGAUAAGAAGGAUGGCAAAGUGAACAAAGGUAUAGUUGAUAUACAUGUUAUUGAUGUGUACUUUACUAGUGUUUAUAGCAACCCCUCAGUAUUUUAUACUGGUUCAGUUGCUAAGAGUAGUAACUCAAAACGGGAGUUGCAAAAUAAACAGAGACUAGUUAAGGGCGAGGUGAUGAUGUGGGUUGGAAGUGAUUCCAUGGUUAAUAAGAUCACCAUCGCACAGUCCCUUUACCUUCGGGAUUAGUGUUGAACCUAAAAUAAAUGUUAUUUGGUGUUUGCGUUGAGCAUGAAUAUGAUUGGAUCAUGUUUAUUGCAACACGGUUAUUCAUUUAAAUCAAAGAAUAACUGAUGUUCUAUUUACAUGAAUAAAACCUUCUAUGGUCAUACACUCAAUAUAAAUGGUUUAUUGAAUCUCGAUCGUAGUGAUACACAUAUUCAUAAUAUUGAAGCCAAAAGAUGCAAAGUUAAUAAUGAUAGUGCAACUUAUAUGUGGCACUGCCGUUUAGGUCAUAUUGGUGUAAAGCGCAUGAAGAAACUCCAUGCUGAUGGACUUUUGGAAUCACUUGAUUAUGAAUCACUUGAUGCAUGCGAACCAUGCCUUAAGGGCAAGAUGACUAAGACUCCGUUCUCCGGAACAAUGGAGCGAGCAACUGACUUAUUGGAGAUAACACAUACUGAUGUAUGCGGUCCGAUGAGUGUUGAGACUUGCGGCGGGUAUCGUUAUUUUCUGACCUUCACAAAUGGUUUGAGCAGAUAUGGGUAUAUCUGCUUGAUGAAACAUAAGUCUGAAACAUUUGAAAAGUUCAAAGGAUUUCAGAGUGAAGUGGAAAAUCAUCGUAACAAGAAAAUAAUGUUUCUACGAUCUGAUCGUGGAGGUGAAUAUUUGAGUUAUGAGUUUGGUCUUCAUUUUGAACAAUGUGGAAUAGUUUUGCAACUCACGCCACCUGGAACACCACAGCGUAAUGGUGUGUCCGAACGUCAUAACCGUACUUUAUUAGAUAUGGUGUGAUCUAUGAUGUCUCUUACUGAUUUACCACUAUCGUUUUGGGUUAUGCAUUAGAGAAAGUUGCAUUCACGUUAAAUAGGGCACCAUCUAAAAAUCCGUUGAGAAGACACCGUAUGAACUGUGGUUUAGCAAGAACCUAAGCUAUCGUUUCUUAAAGUUUGGGGUUGCGAUACUUAUGUGAAAAAGUUUCAACCUGAUAAGCUCGAACCCAAAUCAGAGAAAUGUGUCUUCAUAGGAUACCCAAAGGAAACUGUUGGGUACACCUUCUAUCACAGAUCCGAAGGCAAUAUAUUCGUUGCUAAAAAUAGGAUACUUUCUAGAGAAAGAGUUUCUCUCGAAAGAAGUGAGUGGGAGGAAAGUGGAACUUGAUGAGGUAGUUGUACCUUCUCCCGAAUUGGAAAGUAGUUCAUCACAGAAAUCAGUUCCAGUGAUUCCUACACCAAUUAGUGAGGAAGCUAAUGAUGAUGAUCAUGAAACUUCAGAUCAAGUUACUACCGAACCACGUAGGUCAACCAGAGUAUGGUCCGCAUCAGAGUGGUAUGGUAAUCCUUUCUGGAAGUCAUGUUACUAGACCAUGACGAACCUACGAACUAUGAGGAAGCGAUGAUGAGCCUAGAUUCCGCGAAAUGGCUUAAGGCCAUGAAAUCUGAGAUGGGAUCCAUGUAUGAGAAAAAAGUAUGGACUUUGAUUGACUUGCCCGAUGAUCGGCGAGCCAUUGAGGAUAAAUGGAUCUUCAAGAGGAAGACGGACGCUGAUAGUAGUGUUACUAUCUACAAAGCUUGAAUGUCGCAAAAAGUUUUCGACGAGUUCAAGGUGUUGACUAUGAUAAGAUUUUCUCACUCGUAGCGAUGCUUAAGUCUAUCCGAAUCAUGUUAGCAAUUGCCACAUUUUAUGAAAUCUGGCAAAUGGAUGUCAAAACUACAUUCCUUGAUGGAUUUCUUAAAGAAGAGUUGUAUAUCAUGCAACAAAAAGGUUCUGUCAAUCCUAAAGGUGCUAACAAAGUGUGCAAGCUCCAGCGAUCCAUCUAUGGACUGGUGCAAUCAUCUCGGAGUUGGAAUAUAUGCUUUGAUAAGGUGAUCAAAGCAUAUGGUUUUAUACAGACUUCUGGUGAAGCCUGUAUUUACAAGAAAGUGAGUGGGAGCAUUACAGCCUUUCUGAUAAGUAUAUGUGAAUGACAUAUUGUUGAUCAGAAAUGAUGUAGAAUUUUCUGGAAAGCAUAAAGGAGUGUUUGCAAGGAGUUUUUCAAAGAAAUACCUUAGAGAAGCUGCUUACAUAUUGAGCACAAGAUCAAUAGAUGUACAUCAAGACGCUUGAUAAGUUUUUUCAAUGAGUACAUACCUUGAUAAGUUUUUUGAAGUAGUUCAAAAUGGAACAAUCAAAGAAGGAGUUCUUGCCUGUGGUGCAAGGUGUGAAGUUGAGUAAAGACUCAAAACCCGACCACGGCAGAAAAUAGAAAGAGAAUGAAAAGUCAUUCCCUAUGCCUCAGUCAUAGGUUCUAUAAAGUAUGCUAUGUUGUGUACCAGACCUAUUGUAUACCUUAGCAUGAUUUUGGCAAGGGAGUACAAUAGUUAUCUAGGAGUAGAUCACUGGACAGCGGUCAAAAUUAUCCUUAGAGGACUAAGGAAAUAUUUCUCGGUUAUGGAGGUGAUAAAAGAGUUCGUCGUAAAGAGUUACGUUGAUGCAAGCUUUGACACCAAUCUGGAUGACUCUGAGUCUUGAUCUGGAUACAUAUUGAAAGUAGGAGCCAUUAGCUAGAGUAGCUCCGUGCAGAGCAUUGUAGACAUUAAAAAAAUUGCAAAAUACAUACGGCUCUGAAUGUGGCAGACCCGUUGACUAAACUUAUCUCACAAGAAAAACAUGAUCACACCUUAGUACUCUUUGGGUGUUAAUCACAUAGCGAUGUGAACUAGAUUAUUGACUCUAGUAAACCCUUUGGGUGUUAGUCACAUGGAGAUGUGAACUAAUCACAUAAAGAUGUGAACUAUUGGUGUUAAAUCACAUGACGAUGUGAACUAGAUUAUUGACUCUUGUGCAAGUGGGAGACUGAAGGAAAUAUGCCCUAGAGGCAAUAAUAAAGUUGUUAUUUACAUUUCCUUAUAUCAUGAUAAAUGUUUAUUAUUCAUGCUAGAAUUGUAUUAACCGGAAACUUAGUACAUGUGUGAAUACAUAGACAAACAGAGUGUCCCUAGUAUGCCUCUACAAGACUAGCUCGUUAAUCAAAGAUGGUUAAGUUUCCUGACCAUAGACAUGUGUUGCAUUUGAUGAACGGGAUCACAUCAUUAGAGAAUGAUGUGAUGGACAAGACGCAUCCGUUAGCUAAGCACUAUGAUCGUUUAGUUUAUUGCUAUUGCUUUCUUCAUGACUUAUACAUGUUCCUCUGACUAUGAGAUUAUGCAACUCCCGAAUACCGGAGGAACACUUAGUGUGCUAUCAAACAUCACAACAUAACUGGGUGAUUAUAAAGAUGCUCUACAGGUGUCUCCGAUGGUGUUUGUUGAGUUGGCAUAGAUCGAGAUUAGGAUUUGUCACUCCGUGUAUCAGAGAGGUUUCUCUAGGCCCUCUCAAUAAUGCAUGUCACUAUAAGCCUUGCAAGCAAUGUGACUAAUGAGUUAGUUGCGGGAUGAUGCAUUCCGGAACAAGUAAAGAGACUUGCCGGUAACAAGAUUGAACUAGGUAUGAUGAUACUGUCGAUCGAAUCUCGGGCAAGUAACAUACCGAUGACAAAGGGAACAACGUAUGUUGUUAUGCGGUUUGACCCAUAAAGAUCUUCACAGAAUAUGUAGGAGCCAAUAUGAGCAUCCAGGUUCCGCUAUUGGUUAUUGACCAGAGAUGUGUCUCGGUCAUGUCUACAUAGUUCUCGAACCCGUAGGGUCCGCACGCUUAACGUUCGAUGACGACUUGUAUUAUGAGUUAUGUGAUUUGAUGACCGAAGUUUGUUCAUAGUCCCGGAUGAGAUCACGGACAUGACGAGGAGUCUUGAAAUAGUCGAGACAUAAAGAUUCAUAUAUUGGAAGGUUGCAUUUGGACAUCGGAAUGGUUCCGAGUGGUUCAGGCAUUUUUCCGAAGUGCCGGGAGGUUACCGGAACCCCGGGGAGAAGUAUUGGGCCUAGUGGGCCUUAUUGGAGGAGAGGAGAAAGGGCCACAAGAGAGGGGCGCGCCCUCCCCUUUCGCAAACCAAAUUGGACUAGGGGAGGGGGGCGGCCCCCAUCUUUCCUUCCCCCUCUCUCUCCCUUCCCUUUCCCUCCGUUGGAAGAAAGGAAAAGGGGGGCGAAUCCUACUUGGACUAGGAGUCCAAGUAGGACUCCCCCCUUUGCGCGCCCAACCUGGCCGGCCUCCUCUCUCCCUCCCUCCUUUAUAUACGUGGCCAGGGGGCACCCCAAUAGCACAACAGACAAUCUCUUAGCCGUGUGCGGUGCCCCCUCCGUAGAAACACACCUCAGUCAUAUCGUCGUAGUGCUUAGGCGAAGCCCUGCGCCAGUAACUUCAUCAUCACCGUCGCCACACCAUCGUGCUGACGGAACUCUCCCUCGGCCUCAACUGGAUCAAGAGUACGAGGGACGUCAUCGAGCUGAACGUGUGCUGAACACGGAGGUGCCGUACGUUUGGUGCUAAGAUCGGUCGGAUCGUGAAGACGUACGACUACAUCAACCGCGUUGAUAAACGCUUCCGCUUUCGGUCUACGAGGGUACGUGGACACACUCUCCCCGCUCGUUGCUAUGCCUCUCCUAGAUAGAUCUUGCGUGAUCAUAGGAAAAAAUUUGAAAUACUACAUUCCCCAACAGAUGCACUGGUCAUAUGACCGGAGACAAGUCGUUGUUUGUCGACCCCAACUUAAAUGCUUCAUCUCAGAAGUAUAUUACAUUUGGCGGCAACAACAAAGGAAAGGUAAUUGGGUUAGGUAAAAUUGUUAUAUCCAAAGACAAGAACAUUGAUGUUGUUUUCUGCCGCAUACACUCCCCAACAGAAUGGAGUUGUUGAGCGAGAGAAUAGAACUCUCAUUGAGAUGGCGAGAACAAUGCUCAGUGAGUAUAAAAGUCCAAUUCGCUUCUAGGCUGAUGCUAUUAACACUGCUUAUCAUGUCGUGAAUCGUGUUUAUCUUCACAAAUUCCUUAAGAAAACUUCAUAUGAGCUCAUCACUAGCAAGAAACCAAAUGUUUCUUAUUUAUGUGUUUUUGGUGCACCUUGCUAUAUUCGUGACAUGAAUCACAAUUCCAAGUUUGCACCUAAGGCACAUGAAGGUUUUCUUCUUGGUUAUGGCUCGAACUCGCAUACUUAUCGUGUGUAUAACCACGGGAAAGUUAUGGAAACGGUAAAUGUGUGGUUUGAUGAAUCUAACGGCUCCCAAAAGGAGCACCUGCCUAAUGUGAUAGAUGAACCACCGAUUUCGGAUGCUAUUUGUCAAAUGGCCAUUGGGAGCGCCAGGCUAGUUGAAGGAAAUGUACCUGACUCUUCCGAUGAUGAUGCCCCCAUGACUCGAAGCAGAACACGCCAAGCCACUGCCAAAGAAAAUGCCACUCCGAACACAAAUGGCAACCAGAAUGCAAAUGCCAAUCAAAAUGGCAAUCCUGAUGAAAAUGGCGACACAAAUGCUCAUCUCAAUGCUGAUGCUGAGGAUAAUGAAAAUGAUUGUCAAAAUGAAAAUUCUCACCCACGAGUGGCUAAUCGAGUUGACCCUGCAUUAAUUCUUGAAGAUCUUGAGAAUCCAGGUUAUCGACCCACAACUCGUUCUCGCACUCUUUUGGCUAACUACUGUGGCAAUUUCUCCUUUGUCUCAUUGACAGAACCUACCAAGUAUGAGGAAGCCAUGAAUGAUCCCGAUUGAAUGAAUGCCAUGCAAGAAGACUUGGGGCAAUUCGAAUUGAAUGAUGUAUGGGAAUUGGUCGACAAACCGAAUCCUAAGAAGCACAAUAUCUCGGCGCAAAAUGGAUAUUUCGGAAUAAGCAAGAUGAAAAUGGCAUUGUCGUGAUAAACAAAGUACGUCUUGUUGCUCAAGGGUAUAUAUGGGUAGAAGGCAUUGAUUUUGGUGAAACAUAUGCUCCUGUUGCUCGCCUUGAGGCACUUCAUAUUCUUCUCGCUUAUGCAAACUACAGUGAUAUCCUGCUUUAUCAAAUGGAUGUGAAAAGUGCUUUCUUUAAUGGUGAAACUGAUGAGGAAGUAUAUGUUAGAUAGCCACCUGGCUUUGAAAACCCUCAGUUUCCUAACAAAGUUUUCAGGUUGAAAAAGGCUCUAUAUGGGUUGAAGCAAGCCCUUCGAGCUUGGUAUGACACCUUGAAAAGGUUUUUGCUCGAUAAAGGGUUCAAGCCAGGAUCCACUGAUUCCACUCUUUUCACUCGUGCUAUUGAUGGUGAUCUAUUCGUCUGUCAAAUUUAUGUGGAUGAUAUUAUUUUUGGUUGUACUAACAAUGCUUGCGGCAUGGAGUUCGGGCGAAUGAUGUCCGAGAAAUAUCAAAUGUCUAUGAUGGGUGAACUUAAGAUCUUUCUCAGACUGCAGAUACGUCAACGGGACAAUGGAAUUUUCAUAUCUCAAGAGAAAUAUCUGAGAGACUGUCUGAGGAAGUUUAAAAUGCAAGAUUGCAAAACUGAAGGGCUACAAAACUCCAAUUCCCAUGAAUGGUCAGUUGGAUGCAGUUGUGUACAAUAAAUAUUAUGAUCAGAAAGCUUAUCGUUCGAUGAUUGGUUCUUUACUCUACCUAUGUGCAUCUAGACCUGAUAUUAUGUUGGGUGUUUGUAUGUGUGCUCGUUUUCAAGCUACACCGAAAGAAUCACAUCACCAAGCGGUCAAGCGUAUUCUGAGAUAUUCGGCUCACACCCCCACCUUAGGUUUAUGGUAUCCUAAGGGAGCACAGUUUGAUCUCAUUGGAUAUUCAGACUCAGAUUAUGCAGGUGAUCGGGUUGACAGGAAAUCUACUUCGGGGACAUGCCAUUUCCUCGGUAGAUCUUUGGUAUGUUGGUCGUCAAGAAAGCAGAAUUGUGUCUCUCUCUAUGGUUGAGGCUGAAUAUAUUGUUGCUGGUGCAAGUUGCACUCAGUUAUUAUGGAUGAAGUAGACGCUGAAGGAUUAUGGCAUCAAGGUCAAGAAGAUUCCUCUAUUCUGCGACAUUGAGAGUGCGAUCAAAAUUACACACAAUCCAGUGUAGCAUUCUCGCACCAAGAAUAUUGCGAUCAAACAUCAUUUUAUUCGCGAUCAUGUUGCUAAAGAGGAUAUUGUUAUCAGUCACGUCAAUACUGAAGAAAAUCUCGCUGAUAUCUUCACCAAGCCGCUCGAUGAGAAGAGAUAUUGUGCGUUAUGGUGUGAGCUAAAUAUCCGAGAUUCCGCAAACAUGUAGUAAGCUGGACUCGUCGCCCGUACCAUCACUUCCACAUCUUAGAAGGAAUGGGUGCACAACACUCGAAGAGUUUGAAGAGUUUGAAAAUUUUGAAAAAGUGAAAUUUUCUUUGUGAGAGUGAAUACAUUAAUGAAGAACUAGACUAACCGGGUGCCACGAUAAUUGUGCGACGCUCAGGGUCAUACAGUUCUUAUAUGGUGGAUCACGCCACCACAAUUUCCCUUCAUUGAGUUGCCUUUCGGUUGAAGGAUUUUGUGUUAGUCCGAAUGUAUUUCACCCAUAGCUUUUCUCUCGGGUGUUUGUGUUUCUUUGUCUGAGUGAAAUACCUAGGACCCUGUUUUCCCCCUAUUCUAUCUCCUCCAUUCUAUGAUGUUUCGAUAAGAAUGCUCAAAUUUCAUCUAGUAACGAUACUUUAUCUGGUAUCCUUGACCACGUUAAAGGUUCAUUCCGAACUUAAUUCGUUUUGGCCAAAGCCAUCCAAAAUUUGGGGUUUCCUACCCAAGUCAGGACCACGAUCUUUGAUGACGAUUGCCACGUGCUCUUCAUCAACUGUCGUUUUAUCUGGUCCGUUGAGUCACAAUAGUCCUUUGAAUGUGCUCGUUCGAUCAGAUUCACCAGAUGUGGUUAUUCCACCUCGCAUAUAUAUAUUGCAUCGCCAACCUUCCCCAAAUCCAUUUCUCCUCUUCGCCACCGUCACUUUCCGAGGCCCUACCGCACUGGUCCACCUUGAGCUCGACUACGUCGAUCAUCUUCGCCGCUUAGCUACCGAAAAGAGGUCGCCGGAGUCAUUCCUCGCCGCCGGGAAUCAUCAUCCUCCCUACGCCACCGUAGUUGCUGCACAUCACCGAGUUAGGGUAUGUGUAGUACGAACUCGUUCUUCAACUCAUCUUGUUCGAGUUUGUCCGCGAUAGAAAUUACCUAUAUUUACCGCAUUUCUCAGAUCUUUACUGAUAGGUAACUUGUGCGGAUGUGGUUUGUAGAAGUCCCCGCAUCCAAAAAGUUUCAGAUCUAGGGUUUGUGUUAUGUCUCGUACGACGGAAUGGUUAGCACAUUAACUAGUAUAUACUUCGAAUCUACUAGUUCGUUCUACACAUUUCUUUCAUCUGAAACAUUUCUCAGAGUCUGCAUCUAAUUCUUCUUCAAAACUUUUUCUUUCUCAAAACCUCGUUGUGAGCAUUUGUAACCAUGUCCCCAUUUUUCCCUCGCAUCUAUCCUUAUUCACAGGUAAAUGCAGUCAGUUGAGGAUUCGGCUCGACCAGUGAGCAUGGCUGAUAGAGAUGAUGGUGUUCUGGGUACAGCAGACGAAUCCAAAGCACCGAAUGCCAAGGGCCCCAACGGUAGGCCCAUCACCAGCAAGCGUAAGAAAACCGAGCAAAAUGUUGACGAGCAAGAAGAGAAUGCUCCGAAGAAGAAAAGGGGUGGCAUACAAGCGUAUACAAACACGGUUGAAUAUAUCUCCCAUGAUCGUUACAAUACUGUUCUAGGAGAAACAAAGCGGCAGAGAGAUAAGCGUCUGCAAUGGAUUCGACAUCACUGGGUGUGCAAAUGGUUCAGUUAUGAAUUUGUUCAUCCUCGGUUUGCUCAAAACUUUGCAUUUCAUCCACCAUGGGGUGACUGCCUAGAAAUUUCUCUCAUAAAACCAAAUGGUCCCCAAGAGAGACCACCGCCUCCACCAAAUGCUCAUGAGUCCUCCCUUCGCACACCUGAAUCCUAUCCCGAUGAGCUUGCUAAGCGUCAGUGAAAUGCCAUCAAGCGAGCUAAGAGGGGAGAAAAUAAAAAGGCUCAUGAAGAGGAAAACUGUCGCCUUCUCAAAGAUGAUGUAGAGAAUUAAAAGGCCGAAGGAAAAUCUGAAGGCCGCUCUAAACGCAAGCAUGAUCCCAGUACUGCUGCAUAAAAGCGAAAGAGUGCACCAAAGAACAGAACAGCUGCACCAGCUGAUGAAUUUGCCAUGAGUGAUCCUUCGGAUGAUGAUAAUCCUCCGCUCACAAAGAAAGAAGCUGAUGCUGCUCUCAGCGAGCAAGUGAAUAUCACUACUUCAACGGUGUUGCCUGAUCUUCGAGUCCCUAUGGUUCUAGAAGCACCACCGAAGAAGAUCACUGCUAGGAAAAUCCCACCUACCACUGUCACUAUGAAAUAGCAUGUGAACACAACUCCUCAUCCACAUGCUAUCAAUUUGAAGGAUUUGGCAGUUGACGCUCCUGUGAGUACUUCAAAGCCAGCGAACGAAUUCCCAAGCCUGACUUGAAGAAGAUCAAGGCACCUACUACCUAGAAUAAUGCUCCUCAAGCUACUGCUCCGACGGAGAAGGCUGCUAAGUUUUCUCCCACAUUAAUUCAGCCGCUGGCUUCUAAACCUCCUUCCGAGCAAGUUCCAGUGCAAAUUGCUCUAAUUACUAAGUCUGAUGCUCCUCACUACUAUGAUCAUAUGUUCAUAAUGGAACAGCUUGAUAAGUUUGUGGACAAUCCAUUCGAUGGUGAAGUGGCCUCUUUGCCUAUCCCUCCUGAAGUUAUUUCAUAGGCCACUAUUGUUCUUCAAGAAAUGAGAGAAGAUGCAUUUGAAAUCAACACUCUUUCUGCCGAACUCAAUAACCUUGAUCGUCGAAUGAAAAUUGCCUCUUCAAAAAAUUUCAUUAAAGCACUUGAGGACUCCUAGAAGGACAUCAACCGUGCCAUGACACUCCUCCAAAACAGAAGGUUGCGUUUUCACAUGGAUCUAGAUGAAAUUGUUCGCAAGAUCUGUGAUGAACAUCAAGCAGAGGUUACUGGCUAUAAUGAUCUGGUCAAAGGCCAUAUUAAUCAAGUUGCUCGGCAAAAGAAGAAGCAACGAAAGAAAACUGCGAAGAAAAAUGGACCUUCUGCUCCGACAGAAAAGUCACCUGAUCGCGCAGAGGCUUAGUCUCAAAAAGAAAAAACUCCUGAGCCAGUUGUUCCUUCGCAACCCCCAGUCAAAGACUCGGAUGCUCCCCCCUCGCCAAGGCUAACUGAAUCAGUGCAUGUGGCCUCCACUGCUCAAGCUGAUAAUCCGUCUCAGCGAACUGUUUCCGAGGAAGGUGAAAUCUCUUGCUCCGAGCCCCAAGCUUCUCCGUCUCAUGAAACACCAAAGGGCUCGGCCUCUCCACUUAUUCAGCAACAACAGAUUCCAGUGGAACAACCUCAACCACCUCAUGUACUUGAUUCGGCCUCAGAGCCUACAGUGAAGGAACCUACUGUGCUGCCUACUGCCUCUGCAGCUCCCUCUAUUGUGCCACCAGCUCCAUCACCACUUAAGUUGUCUCUCGACACAGCACCAAGAAUGCCAGAUAUUGGUCCCUCUGAACGAAAAUCUAUUUCUGCUCGCAAGACUGACUCUGUCGUAUAUGGCGAUGAAUAUCUCUCUCUUGAAGACGAACUCAAAUACCCAUACCCUCGUGAAGAACUACCUUUGUUCUUGUCAGGAGAUGGUGCAAAAGGUCCUCCUUUCAAUAGGAAUGUGCAUCCCAAAUUCUUUCAAGAUAGUCCGUAUGAUGGGCCGCGCACUUCGGAACCGCCUCGCUUCUGGACAAAAGAACAGGCCAUCUAUUACUCUCGGGUCCUCUAUGAGAGCAGAAAUAUAUUUCCGCAUGAAUACCUGAACAUCCCUGCUAUGCGCAAUAUUGGUUGCUUCAAUCAGUUACUGCAAGAUCUAGAUGAUUUCUACCUCGCCAAGUAUUCGAAUUCGAGCAUCCUUGGAAUCGAGAGCUUAUUCUUCAGUUCUAUGCUACUCUAUAUAUCUCUGGUGAUGAAUCCGACAGGUCAAAAUGGAUUAUGGAGUGGAUAAUCGAAGGAAAAUGCAUCAAAUGCACUUCAACUGAUUUUGUCUCGCACUUCCAUUUCCCUUGCUUUGAGCAUGGUGACAAUGAAAUUCGGGUGCACAACAUUGAUGUCAUAUCAGAUGAAACUUUUCGGUGCACUAUGGAUCAAGAAAAGAUUCGUGACUACACUGGUCCUCCCCAUCCUGAGCAUUUAACGUUCGAGAAUCAGACACUAUUCCACAUGCUCUUUUACACUGUUUGCCCUCUGGCCAGGAUGAAUAUAGAUAAGUCCAUCUUAGAUGUUCUUCGGAAUACUAUCUAUGCAAUCUCUAAGUGAUAUAUCUUCGAUGUUGAGGGCAUGUUUCUGCGUAUUCUGAAGGAUUCUUCUCAAUAUAUAUCCUUUCUGCCUCAAAGUUUUCAUGCCAUGGAUCCAGAAAGUCAUUAUCACGCUAUGCGCAUAGUGUAUCUGGCGAAGCAAAGUCAUAAAAGCUUCCUACUUCCUGUUCACGACACCUUGCAAAUCAUGGAAGAUAUUUCUUCGGGUAAAUCGCCUACGUCAAUCCCUCAUGAUUAUCACAAGCAAUUCGACGGGCCAUGUAUCCCUCAGCAUGACCAAAAGAUUUCGCCUCAACCUCCAUCGCAACUCGAAGUCAGUUUGCGUACACAACAGUUGCUGCUGUAGCACAUCGCUGAGGAUCAACGCGAAAAAGAACAUCUCGCCUCCGAGCUAAAUGCUCUCAACAAUUGCAUCGGAAUCAUGCAUCUGAUUGUAGAUGAAAACAAGAAGCGGCUCUGGAAAUUGCUUUGUAAGUUCUUUACCGAGAAACAACUCCUGAAUGUCAAUCUCCAAGAGCUCUAUGAUUAUAUUGACAAAGGCUUCACUAUUGAAAAUUUCCAAGAUCGGAGUAUCCCUCCUCUUCCUAGUCGUGAGCCAACCACUGAUCUUUUGCAUCUCAAGCUUCGCAAACUGCUUGAAGAAUCUGAAGCCACCUCACCAACAGAGAAACCUACCGAAGGCAAUAUGCUAUCCCAUGUUCCUCAUGUGGCUGACCCAAACAUGCCCUCGUCCUCUCAGCCCCAAGUUGUUAUCCCUGAAGGAAAAUCCAGUGCUGCUGAAGACAAAGUUAUUCCAGUCACUUCCAAAGACGAAGUCACCUCGGACAGUUCUUCUGGAGAUGCCACCGAGUGAACCAAGUUCUGCAUUUUUGCACUCAUGUUCUUCAUCACCUUUUUGACACUAGUUGACAAAAAGGGAGGAAAUUACAUCGAGUCUCAAUAGAUUUUCUUUCUGUGUUUCUUUGGUUUGGUUUCGUGCAAGUUUGAAACUUCUGGUUAAAGCUUAUCUGCUCUAAAUUGUAAAACUUCUGUGCUGAAAUGUUAAUAACCCCGCCUACUGCACUAUUUCUCUUGAAGCAUUUGUAUUGAAGGUGGAAUUAUUAUCGAAGUUAUGAAUGAUAGCACUACGAUCUCGAUGGAUUAUAUGUCAUCAGUGUAAAUCAUUGUCUCGAAUGAUUGAAAUUUCCUCUGUAUACCUCAAUAAUUGCAGGAGAAUUAAUCUCAUAUCUUUUCCCUGCAUACAUCUAGGGGGAGUCUAUUUCAUCAUUGAGCAAAGUAACACUUAUUCACUCUUGUUGGAGUUACUUGUCACUUAUCUAUCUUCACUUUGAUGAUUAUCUGUUUUCUCAACAACCGUCCAAAAAGGGGGACAUUGUUGGUGCAAUAAUUUGCCUCCUUAUAUUUUGGAGUUUGUUGACAUAAACAGUAUGGGACUUAUGUGUUUGCUAGUGCACAUAGAGUAACAGGUCCCUAGAAUCAAGAGGAGUUUGAUUCAAAGGCCGAAGAUAAUCCCCUGCGUGGCAGUGAAGGUUAUCACCGAAGAUUAUGAUAACAAGAGUGACCCCUCAAAAAUUGCUGACGCGAAGCAAUUAGUUCGAUGCUCGUCUGAAGGAAGUGACUGGGACCGAGAAGAUUGAAUACGAAGUGAAGAUGUAGCAUUUAUUUCAUUGUUUCUCUCCUCUUUAUUGAGUCACAGGACCACCAUACUAUUAAGAGGGGUGCAACAUUUUAAACUUUGAUUCUCUGAUGCUAAACUCAAGUCCUAUGAAAGUUCUGAUAGAAAUAUCUUUGUGUUUCGAGCAAAUGCUUGCCAGCAAGAGACUGUGAUCUUCUUCGCUGCGAGAGAUUUGUCUCUGAUCGAGGAUUUAGCAUUACUUGGUCCUCAAGUAAUGUUACUGUUGCUCUUAAAAUCGGACCGUUGUGAACGUGUCGGUUGGCCAUUGGCUGGACCACGUGUCCAAAAUGGUCAUUUCCCACCAGGGAAGGUUGUGGCUAUAAAUAGCCACCCAGCACCAGCGUUGUCCGGUGGCUGCUCCGUUUGAUUGUGAGAAGAUUAUUGAGAGCCAAAAAAUUAGAUAGUGAUUCAGCAUCACCCGAAUCUAAGUCCAGUACACUCCGCCUAUUACUCUUGAGAGCUGCAAACUCUCUAGACAGUUAGGUGUCAAUUUCUUCAGGGACCAAGAGUAACUGUGGUUCUCGAAAAAGAAGUCUGUAAAGGUUCAGAGAUCACCUCAAGUAUCUACCACGAGUGUCGUGGUUUUGUCACGGCAGAUGUCCUAGAGAAAGGACUUAGUCGUGGAGCCAUCGCUAUGGGUUAGCUCGAAGGGGUUAAAGCAGACAAGGGACGCAAGAGAGUUUUAUACUAGUUCGGCCCCUUCGAUGAAGGUAAAAGCCUACGUCUAGUUGUGAUGGAAUUGAUGGGGUUUCGAUGACCAGGGAUCGAAUAUGCUUUGCCUAAGUCUCGAGUUGUUGUCUGUUCUUCCUGAACCGCCGCCGGGUCGUCCCCUUAUAUACAUGGGUUGACGCCCGUCGGUUUACAGACUCCGAGGCCGGCUCAUAAUCGUGUCCGGCUCGGUCUCUGCUACGCAUAUCUUACAACACAAGUUUACAUCUCAAUGCCGGUUUGUGUCUACAUGCCUUAAACCGGCUUUGGGCCUCCAUGAAGCGUCACCGUCUGUCUUCAUGGGCUUCAGAUACAGAUGAACUACUUAUGAAGUUAACCCGGCCUCUCCUGGCCGGUUUACGCCCAGUGGUAAUAUCCCCAACAUUAGGCCCCAGAUUGAUUUGAACUGGUUCAUGUCAAUCCUCAAUACUUGAGAAAAUUUCUUCUUCAACACUUCACACAAUCUUGUAAACCGCCAUGACAUCAUCUUCUAGGAUGUUGGUAAACCGCCGUGACAUCACCUGUCAUUAACGAGCCUCCGACAAUCGAGGCGAUAGCCUUACCUUAUAUCCAAAAAUCCGGCUCCUCGAUUUUUGCAUCUGUCGUUUAUCUCCUUAUAAAUAGGGCCAGGGGGUCUUUCCAGUUUCCCCCUCGUGCCUCUUCGCUUCAUCUUCAUCCUCGCGACGCCCGAACCUUCGAUCUCGGCCGCCGCCGUCAACCUUCAACUGCUGCACCACCCUUGGCCACUGCAUCGACCUGAACGUACCAGAGCUCCUCCGCGCCCGCCGCUGCUCAAUAGCAUCCGUAAGUCUCCCCUUUCUCUUACCAUAGAUCUGCGCUUAGGGUUUCCGUCGUUCAUCGGUGUUCGUCGCCGCCCUUCUUUUCCCUUGUUUAUAUCCGUGGGUUAGAUCCAAAAACCACCUAGGUCUCGUGUGGUAGUAGUUUAAACCACAUAGAUCUCGUGCUUUAGCAGUUUCAGCACCUGUUUGAUAUCCAACUCAUCUCAUCUUGGUGAACCUUCGGUACACUGGAAUUUAGGUCAGAAUAUAUUUUGUUUUUCCUACACGCGGAGAUCUGAAAUUACCAUAGCAAGAUGUGAAACUUGUUUCUUCCAUCUCUUACACCCUUUGAAUACCAGAUUGGUCGGUUUAACCUCACAGGAAAAAUGAUGACCCGGUAGAUACCAUUAGUCCCCUGUUGAACCGCCAAUGCAUUACACUGUUCCAUUGCCAGACUCCGGUUUACCAAUAUGUUAGUAUCCUCAUACCGCUGUAUAGUUGUCCACUGUAAAUCUUAAACCGGUAAUACUCAUGUUUCAGAUUUUCCUUGUCAUGGCUAAACAAGUUUAUGAGUGCAAUUGAGCUCCCUCUCGAGUAACCGAGGAGCAAUUAAACAACCUUGUUAAGACGGGCGCCCUAGCCAAGAAAGAUGUCAUCCACUGGAGGGUCCCUGGCCCGGAAAAUCCUCCUACACCCAAGGAUGGAGAAGUAGUCAUGUUUGUUGAUCAUCUCGGACGAGGUUUUAGCCCUCCCGGUUCAAAAAAAUUCCGAGAUGUGCUAGCCAAUUUUCAGCUGCGCCCUCAAGACAUCGGUCCCAACUCUGUUACCAAUAUCUGCCACUUCCAAGUAUUCUGUGAAGCUUAUCUGCAAGAGGAACCUACAGUCGAACUGUUUAGGGAUUUCUUUCAUUUAAACCGUCGCACCGAGUUCUCAGAUGGACCCAAUACAGAACUGGGCGGAAUGGUGGUUCAGAAGAGAAAAGAAGUCACCUUCCCCCAUCCCAAACUCCACGGUCACCCCAAAGAGUGGAACCAAACUUGGUUUUACUGCAUGGAUACCUCUCCAUCUGACGAAAAACCCCUGCCGGGUUACCGCCCUGAACGCCUGAGCAACACACACUCAUUUCCUCAGAGGCUGACAGCAAGAGAACGGGCCAACUAUGCUCCCCAACUUUCGAAGCUUAGAGCCUUCAUGGCGAACGGUUUGACAUGAGUCGAUCUUGCUCGUUGCUGGAUAAGCUGGAGCAUUCUGCCCUUAAGCCGGCGCCCCGGUUUGAUGUGUGAGUACACGGGGAGUUUGAAGGAUGCUCAGCGGCACAUUGACAUUCAGCUUACAGAUGACGAAGUCACUGAGGCUGUAAAGAAAAUACUGAACGAACCGGAGGCCGUCUGUGCCCAAACCGGGCUACUCCCUUUCUGCACCUUCAAUAAACCACCAGCUAUAAGAAUCAUAUAAUCCUUUGUAUCUGAAUUUGCUUCUGUCCAAAUAUUCUCUGAAAGUGUGAUUAUUUUUCUGACAGGGUGAUGAUCCGUUCUGGAACAAGAAACCUUCACAAGAUAAACCGGCAAAACCGCAAGACAAAACGGUCAAGCCAGUUCAUCCAAAGACCAAGGUUGUCAAGAAACCUGCCAAGAGAAGGACCACUGCAUCCUCUGAUCUACCAGCUGAUGACAAUGUGCGUAAUCCGGAAUCAGAGGUAGAACUUGACUCUCUUGGUUUAUUUUCGUACAUCUCAUUGACAAUGAUUAUUAUCAGGACGACGCUGAAGGCAGUCACACUGAGGACGUAGAGGUAACUAUUCUUUCCUCCGAUUCAGAUCCUCUGCCAACAUCAAAAAUCCGUCAAGCAAACCGGAAAGUAAAAUUUUCUCACCCUCUUGCUUAUUUGGAUCCAAACUUUGUUUUGAAGACGCAGCAGCACGAAGCUCGCCGUACAACCCGGCACAGCGGCCAGGUAGUUACCUCCGCCGGUUUACCGAACAGUCCGGUUCGGAAACGCCGAUCAGAGGUCUCUUAUCCCAUUGAUACUUCAUGCCCAAAAGCAGGUUGUUUUCGCCAGCCUCUUAACCCAUCUGAUUCAAAUUAUCAGGGUACUUCUCACUCAUCCUCUGGCGAGUCUUCGGCCACACAGCUUCCACCUCUCAAAACAGUUCCUAGGUGAGUUAUGCACAUGUCUUUAUUCCUCAUAUGUUAUCUUUUCAUACUGUACUGAUCCUUAUGUCUUAUCUUUUCGCAGCGCCAAGCCAAGGCCCAGCAAGAAAGCUCGGUUGAACAAACCGGCUGAUAAAUAUGUAGCUGCUGAACCGGAAACAACUCCAGAUCUGGAAGAAACUAAUGCUGACGCCAUGCUUCACGAUCCGCCGCUUCAAGACCAUGAUUUCCUUGCUGAACAAGUGCAAGUUGAUACUACAAGUGAUGCAGACCGGCCAACCAGCCUUGUCUGAACUGGUGACAAACCGGUCAGUCCAACGAAGGACACUGAUAAACCGCCAACUCCGGCAAGAGCUACGGAUGAACAAGAUGAUGAUGUUAUGAUUACUGGCACUGGCCACUCCACUCCAGGCAACCCUGUAGCUUUGUCAAAGCAUACUGCCAAGGAUGAUCUCUCUGCUAUCGGCAAAGGCAAAUGGAAUGCCGAUUUAUCAAGCUUCGCCAACCUCAAUGUUUAAGACAUUCACUCUGGCUUCUUGAACCGUCUGUAUACCAGUCGUGACUAUGAAGCUAGUUUGGUAAACUUGAUGAAGGAGCGAUAUGAGGUACCUACUGCUUUUCUCCUUUGUCUAAUUUCAGUUCAUCGGCUCAUAGUAGCUCCCAAGUGACGGUUUAUGAUACCAAUCUAAACCGGGACUUUUGUCAUAACUUAACCUUGCCUAUUUAGCCUCCAGGGACCGGAUUACCUUGUUAAGUUGAACCGGUUCCUUAUAAUUUGCCAUACUUCUCUUUCGCCGGUAUAGUCCCCAAGGGCCGGUUUAACUUUAUAAAGAUGAACCGGGACUGUAGAAGAAUUCCCAUAUCAACAGCUUUUUGAGCAAACACACAUUAGCCCCCAAGUGCCAAGCUUAAUACUUGUAUUGUGUUUGGGACUUGUAAAAAUUUCUGAGUAAACACAAAUAUGCAUUAGCCCCCAAGUACUAAGGGCAUAACUUGUUAUGUGCUUGGUACUUCAAAUAUGUACUGUCAACUCAUUAUGUAUCUGUCUCUUUACAGGCGGAGCUGAGCAAGAAGGAACGCCAAACCGCUGAUCUGCAGGAGAACAUCAAAACCCAGCAAUCUGAAGCCUCCAAAGCGAAGGAAGAGUUGACCCGCGCUCUAGGCGCUAUGGAGAAACUGAAAGAGGGCUUCAACAAAGAGCGGGCGGAUUGGGAGACUGAAAAAGCCGCUUUGAUAAAAAGGGCUGAAAACGCAGAAGCCGCUCUUAAACCUGUGGUUGACGAGCUGACUGGUGUAAAGCGGCAAGUGCAUGCUAUGACCUCUGCUGUGUUUGGUAAGCAUACUUCCUUUAUGCUUUCAACAUAUCCUCUCAUGCGUUGCCGGUUUACUGAUGUUUGUAAUGAUACAGGAACCCGCAUUAGCCAUAUGGGCUCAGAUGUGCAGAAGAAGUUGAAAGCUGCCUACACGCUGAUAGAGCAACUUUAUACCGGCGUACAACGGAUUAUCUGCACCGCUUCGCACAAUAAGCCACCCCCGACGUUGAUCAAGGAUACCUUAGACAGGCUAUCUAUGCUACCUGCCCGGAUAGAAGAGCUAAAGAGGUCUGCUGCAAGGGCUGGCGCUCUGACCGCGCUAACCCGGGCAAAAGCAUGGGUGCCUGAUCUUGAUCCGACGGACGUGGCUAAAGGCUACCCAAGCUUGAAAGAGGACGGAUCAGAAUUUUGCACUGAAGAUCUCCGCGCCAUAAACCGGGAAGUACGUCCACUGGCUUGUCAACUUGCUGAAGAAGCUGAUCUUUCACAUUAUCAGGCGAGUUAUGAUAUUAAUAACAAGCGGGUUGCUGCACCAGCUCUUCAAACUCAAAGCCUGAUCCCUCCAAUCCAUAAGCACACUUAUGCCCCUGAUAUUGAACCGUCCACCCUUAUAAGCGACGAAGCUGUGUUCCAAGCUUUAACUGGGAUCGACUGGACAACUGUUGACUUCCAGCCGCUGGGUAGGGACGAAGAAGAAGCAGCAAGAUGACCCGCAGCCGUCAGGUCAAGCUACUCAGUGAUCAUAACCCGGGGGCCGGUUUAACCUUCCAUACUGCAAUGUUUAUUGAGAAACAAUUAUUCCUUUGGGUACUGAAACGCCUUGUAAUAGGCUAGUUAAAACACUUGGUCUGUUAUGCCUUCAUGCAUAUUUAUCAGCAACUGAUGUGUGUUAAUCCGCCAUGCUUUGCGAUAUGAUGUUCAUAAUCCAUAGCUAUUUAUUCCAAUUGUUCCUGCAGAUAAAAAGCUUAAAGCGCCCUGGCGGUUUACCACCGGGCGGGUCAUGAUACCCAACUAUAUAUAUGACCAAGUUUUAUAACCAAGGUUGUCAAAGAUAACCAAGUAUGGAAAUAUAUGAUACCUGCGACCUUUAGGCAUAGUGUUGGCUGACCAACCUUGUAAUGAAGGUAAUAACCUUAAUCCGGAGUAAAAGUAUCUCCUAUUAUAUAAUGCCGGUUUACAACAAAACCGUUCCGGGUUGUGAUAAACACCGGCUUAUUCUAUACUGGUGACUAUGAGUCAAAACCAGACCGGGCUGAUAGUCUCCGGAUUAUAACUUGGUCAUGUACUGACAACUUGUAGUUGACAGCCCAACCGGGUUGAAAAAUACUGGUUUGAAAACAUCACAAAUCUUAGCAAAAGAAAAAGAAACUUAGCAAAAGACAAAUAAAACCGUUGUAGUCGAGGCUUUUCAUGGGCUGCCAGGCCCCAAAUUUGAUCAAGAGGUGUUGCUAUGGUUCGGGUUCGACCAAGCCCCCAAAUGAUGUUGUGGCAUUACGCCGAUCAAAAGGCAUUGCUAUGGUUCGGGUUCGACCAAGCCCCCAAGUGAUUAUGUGGCUUUACGCCGAUCAAGAGGCGUAGUCAUGGUUCGGGUUCGACCGUGCUCCCAAGUGAUGCUGUGGCAUUACGCCGAUCAAGAGGCGUGGCUAUGGUUCGGAUACGACCAAGCCCCCAAGUGAUUCUGUGACUUUACGCCGAUCAAGAGGCGUAGUCAUGGUUCGGGUUCGACCAUGCUCCCAAGUGAUGCUGUGGCAUUACGCCGAUCAAGAGGUGUAGCUAUGGUUUGGAUACGACCAAGCCCCCAAGUGAUCUGAUAUCAAGCUUUAAGAAGCUAAAUCAAGGGGUAAACCGGACGCCGCUUUGUAAGCUCCAUGUAACCACACGUGAUGUAAGAAAACAACAGAUACCCCGCUUUAGCUGAGGUUCCGGUUUAUUAUAUUGAUCAUAAUAUAUACAAUGUCAUAAUAUGUACAUAAGCAGAUCCUGUAGCUCAAGUAUAGUAGGGUCGAAGAUGAGCAAUAUUCCACGGCCGGUUGGUCUCCUCCUCCGAUUUACGUGAGUCUUUGCGCUCUCGAACAUCGAUUAGGUAGUACGACCCAUUGUGCAAAUCCUUGCUAGCCACAAAAGGCCCUUCCCAAGGGGGGAUAGCUUGUGCAUAUCCGUCUGAGCCUGGAUGAGUCGAAGCACCAAAUCUCCUUCUUGAAAGGUUCUGGUUCUAACCCGGCGGCUAUGAUAACGACACAGAUCUUGCUGAUAAAUCGCCUAAUGGGCUGCCGCCAUGUCACGCUCCUCAUCUAACAGGUCAAGAGCUUCCUGCCGUGCCUUCUCGUUAUCCGCUUCAACAUAUGCCGCUACACGAGGCGAGUCAUGACGGAUGUCACUAGGAAGAACCGCUUCCGCUCCGUAAACCAUGAAGAACGGCGUGUAGCCUGUCGAUCUGUUGGGUGUGGUAUUGAUGCUCCAAAACACUGAAGGUAACUCCUCAACCCAACAACCUGGCGUACGUUGCAAAGGAACCAUAAGCCGGGGUUUGAUGCCUCUCAAGAUCUCUUGAUUGGCCCUCUCCGCUUGACCAUUGGACUGGGGGUGAGCCACUGAUGACACGUCAAGCCGGAUGUGCUCACGUUGACAGAACUCCUUCAUGGCACCGUUUGACAGAUUGGUACCAUUGUCUGUUAUAAUGUUGUGUGGAAAGCCAAACCGGAAGAUCACCUUUUUGAUGAAUUGAACUGCCGUGGCUGCAUCACACUUACUAACUGGCUCUGCCUCCACCCAUUUUGUGAACUUAUCAACCGCCACCAAAAGGUGGGUCUUCUUGUCUUGGACCUCUUGAAAGGCCCAACCAUAUCCAGCCCCCAAGUUCGGCCAGGUGAUUGGAAUCAUCCUCAAUUCUUGAGCUGGUACAUGAACACGCCGUGAGAAUUUCUGACAGCCAUCACAUCUUUUAACCAAGUCCUCGGCAUCAGCAUGAGCUGUCAACCAAUAAAAACCGUGACGAAACGCCUUGGCCACCAAAGAUUUUGAACCGGCAUGGUGCCCACAAUCUCCUUCGUGGAUCUCACGCAAAAUUUCAUGGCCUUCCUCAGGAGAUACACAGCGUUGAAACACCCCUGUCACACUGCAAUGAUGUAGCUCUGCAUUGAUAAUAGUAAUGGAUUUGGACCGCCGGGUUAUCUGUCUGGCCAAAGUUUCAUCCUCUGGUAACUCGCCCCGGUUUAUAUACGCCAGAUACGGAACCGUCCAAUCCGGGAUAAUAUGUAGAGCUACCACCAACUGAGCCUCCGGAUCAGGAACAGCCAAAUCCUCUUCACCAUGGAGCUUGACGGACGGAUUAUGCAAAACGUCCAGAAAAACAUUAGGUGGAACCGGUUUACGUUGGGAACCCAGGCGGCUUAAAGCGUCUGCCGCUUCAUUCUUCCGCCGGUCCACAUGAUCCACCUGAUAACCUUUGAAGUGACCUGCAACAAUAUCCACCUCACGACGAUAUGCUGCCAUCAGUGGGUCCUUGGAAUCCCAACUGCCAGACACUUGUUGAGCCACCAGAUCCGAGUCACCGAAGCAUUUAACUCGGCUGAGAUUCAUCUCCUUAGCCAUCCGUAGACCAUGGAGUAAGGCCUCAUAUUCAGCUGCAUUAUUAGUGCAAGGGAACAUUAAACGGAGAACAUAACAAAACUUAUCACCUCGUGGGGAAGUUAACACGACUCCAGCCCCCGAGCCCUCCAAUUGCCUGGACCCAUCAAAAUAAAUAGUCCAAUAAGUGUGAUCCGGCUUCUCUUCUGGCGCUUGUAAUUCUGUCCAAUCAUUGAUGAAAUCCACAAGUGCCUGAGAUUUGAUCGCCGUUCGGGGUAUGUAUUUCAACCCGUGAGGCCCGAGCUCGAUAGCCCACUUAGCAAUUCGACCAGUUGCCUCGCUAUUCUGGAUUAUAUCCCCCAAAGGAGCAGAGCUGACCACCGUGAUGGGAUGACCUUGGAAAUACUGCUUAAGCUUCCGGCUUGCCAUGAAAACCCCAUACACCAAUUUUUGCCAAUGCGGGUACCUCUGCUUGGAUACAAUGAGUACCUCACUAAUAUAGUAAACCGGCCGCUGAACCGGAUAUUCCUUUCCUGCCUCCUUGCGCUCCACCACAAUAGCCACACUAACAGCCCGAGCGUUAGCUGCCACAUAUAGCAGCAACGGUUCUUUAUCAACCGGAGCAGCGAGAAUCGGCGGAUUAGCUAGCUGUUGCUUUAAGUCCUCAAAUGCUUCAUUAGCGGCGUCACUCCAGAUGAAGUUAUCCGUUUUCUUCAGCAUCUGAUACAAAGGAAUGGCCUUCUCACCAAGACGACUGACAAACCGGCUUAACACGGCAAUCCGGCCUGCCAGGCGUUGAACAUCUUUGACACACUUUGGUUUAGCCAAGGAGGUGAUGACCUUGAUCUUUUCCGGAUUAGCUUCAAUGCCCCUGUUAGACACCAAAAAACCCAAGAGCUUGCCUGCAGGUACACCAAAGACGCACUUGGCCGGAUUAAGCAUCAUUUUAUAAACCCGCGGGUUAUCAAAGGUUUCCUUCAAGUCAUCAAUCAAUGUCUCCUUUUUCCUUGAUUUCACCACAAUAUCAUCCACAUAGGCGUGAACAUUGCGGCCGAUCUGUUUAUGAAGACAAUUCUGCACACACCGUUGAUAAGUUGCCUGUGCACUCUUGAGCCCAAAGGGCAUGGACACAUAGCAGAAGGCUCCAAAGGGAGUUAUGAAGGCCGUCUUCUCCUGGUCCUUAACUGCCAUCUUGAUCUGAUGAUAACCAGAAUAUGCAUCCAAAAAACUUAACCGCUCACAACCCGCCGUAGCAUCAAUAAUCUGAUCAAUACGGGGGAGGGCAAAAGGAUCUGCUGGACAAGCUUUGUUGAGAUCUGUGUAGUCCACACACAUACGCCAAGUGCCAUUCUUCUUGAGGACCAGCACCGGAUUAGCCAACCACUCAGGAUGGAAUACUUCAACAAUAAAUCCAGCCGCCAAGAGCCUGGCUACUUCUUCUCCAAUAGCUUUGCGUCUUUCUUCAUUGAACCGGCGGAGAAACUGCUUGACCGGUUUAUACUUAGGAUCAACAUUGAGGGCGUGCUCAGCGAGUUCUCUCGGUACACCAGACAUGUCAGAAGGCUUCCAUGCAAAGAUGUCCCGAUUCUCACGGAUGAACUCGAUGAGCGCGCUUUCCUAUUUCGGAUCCAAGUUAGCGCUGAUGCUAAACUGCUUGGACGAAUCGCCCGGCACGAAGUCAACAAGUUUAGUCUCAUCAGCCAAUUUAAACUUCAGGGCCGGAUCAUGCUCCGCAGUUGGUUUCUUCAAUGAAGUCAUAUCUGCCGGAUCAACAUUGUCUUUGUAAAACUUCAACACCUCUGUUGCACAAACCGACUCAACAUAAGCCGCAUCACCUUCCUCACAUUCCAGGGCAAUCUUGCGGCUCCCAUGCAUGGUUAUAGUUCCCUUGUGACCCGACAUCUUGAGCUGUAGAUAGACAUAACAAGGUCGUGCCAUAAACUUAGCAUAAGAUGGCCGUCCAAAUAGGGCAUGAUACGGGCUUCUGAUUUUCACCACUUCAAAGGUCAAGGUUUCUGAUCUCGAGUCAUGCUCAUCUCCAAAAGCCACCUCCAGAGCUAACUUACCAACAGGAUAUGCCAACUUACCAGGCACCACACCAUGGAACACCGUAUUGGACGGUUUAAGAUUUUUAUCUGUUAGCCCCAUGCGACGGAAAGUUUCAUAAUAAAGGAUAUUGAUACUACUCCCUCCAUCCAUGAGUACCUUAGUGAAGUUAUAACCUCCCACCUGAGGUGCCACCACCAGAGCCAGAUGACCCGGAUUGUCAACCCGGGGUGGAUGAUUGUCUCUACUCCACACAAUGGGCUGCUCGGACCAGUGCAAAUAACGGGGCACCGCCGGUUCAACGGCAUUCACCAUCCCCUUAUGAAGCUUCUGAUCGCGCUUGUCCAAGCUAGUGGUGAAGACAUGAUACUGUCCGCUAUUCAACUGCUUCAGGUUGCUCUGGUAACACGACUGCUGCUACUGCUGAUUGCCCUGAUGAUUAUAGCCACCUUGGUUACCUUGAUUACUUUGAUUGUUGUGUCCACCCUGAUUGCCAUGGAAUCCCGAACCGGAAUUUCCUCCGCCAUAACCCGGCCCAUGAGAGCCAGAGCCCGAACCGCCUCCUGAUCCAUGAUCAUACCGGAAAGAGUCAGAAUUUUUGAACUCUUGCAUGAUAUAAUAAUCUUUCCAGAGGUGUGUAGAUGGUUCCUCCUUCGUCCCAUGCUUUGGACAGGGCUGGUUCAACAGAUACGACAAACGGUCCGGAUUAGGAUUCGGCAUUCCAUUCCGCCGGGGCGGUUUACCCUUACGCCGCUGGCCCUUGUCGUGCGUAUUAGUGUUAGCCACAAAGUCUAAACCGUGGUCCGCUUUACGCUUGCCGCCGUUUCCAUGACCCGCCGGGUUGUGGUGCUGCCCCUUGGCGUUGCCGCUCCUCUUUCCCUUCCAUGUCUUGUCAUCGUCAGACUCGGGAUCCUUGGUACUAUCAGAGUCGGCAUACUUCACCAGUGCAGUCAUGAGGGUUCCCAUGUCAUUACAAUGACGUUUGAGCCGUCCCGACUUCAACUUCAAGGGCUGAAACCGGCAAUUGCCUUCCAAUGUUAAAACUGCGAUGUCAGCGUUGAUGCGGUCUGAUGAAUGCAAAAUCUCCGAAACCCGGUGCACCGAAUGGGUUGUUGACUCUCCUUCCUCGUGGACACAGGCAGCUAAGUCCACAAUUUACAUGGGCUGCUUGCAUGUAUCCUUGAAAUUCUGAACAAACCGGGCUCUCAACUCAGCCCAUGACCUGAUAGAAUUAGCCGGUAAACUCUUUAGCCAAGUGCGGGUCGUUCCUUCUAGCAUCAUGGUGAACUACUUCGCACAUUCCGCAUCAUCCACGUCCAGCAUCUCCAUGGCCAUCUCAUAGCUUACAACCCAUGUUUCAGGGGAUAAAUCAGCGGUGUAAUUCGGCACCUUGCGCGGGCCCUUGAAAUCUUUGGGCAGGCGCACAUUACGCAACGCCGGGACAAGACAUGGCACUCCCAAGGAACUAGAGGUAACUCCUGGUUCCACCGAUGUGGUUGGACGAACCGGAGUAAGCUGACGGGCCUCGUGCUGCGCUGCUAACUCGGCCUCUCUGCGUGCCCGAGCCCGGUCCACCACAUCCUGAGCAUCACCGGCACCACCCGCCGGGUUAUGGCCACGGGGCGGAUCACGGUUCCGCGCAUUGCUUGACACUGCCGGUUCAUCCAUACUCCUGCUGUAACUCCGGCUUGGACGGGGAGUGGAAUGAAUCCGAUCGCGACUAUAUGAAUAAGCCUCCUGUUGAAUCAAGGCUGUCUGAAGAAGCUCCUUAACCCGACGCGUCUCGACCGCUGCUGGAGAAUCGCCUUCGAUCGGGAUGGCCGCCAAUCGUGAAGCGGCAGCGACAAUGUUGUCCAUUGGGUUAGAAUAAUGACCCGGUGGUGUGGGGACAUGAGGUACCACAACGUUGUUCUGACGAGGCGGAUCCACCAAACGUGGCUGAACCGGCGCCCCUGCUCCGGGUGCCUCUGCCCGGUUUACCACGGCGGAUUACUGGUUCCUGCCCCUGGGGUGUUAAAGAGAUUUCUAGCGUCGUAAACCGACGGCAGGCGAGAUCGGUGCCUCCUCUUCAGGACUUCGUUCGACGCACUCUGAUCUAGCAUAAUCCGGUAAGCUUGUGCAUCCAAAGCGGCCCGCUCCGCGGCUAUCCAGGUAUCCUCAGCUGCUAAGUCGGCUUUUGCCUGGGUGAUCUGAUCUUUCACUUUCGCGAUUUCUGCAUUGUGUACAUCCUGAUCCGCCGGGUUAACCUCUGCCAUCAGCGUUGCCAACACAUCAAACAAAUCAGAUAGAACUUGAGUUGGCAGUCGCACAGGGCCUCCUGCCCCAGCCGCUACCGCCGCUGCUGACCCGGAAAUCAUCGCCGCUGCGGUUGAAGAGUGGAGCGCUGGUUGCGUGCCGGCCAUGAAGAUCGCCACCCGGUUUGGCAGAUCGAAGGGGUCCGGAAUACUGUCGCCAUCGGAACAGUCCCCAAUCCGGCCAUCUUGUAACUGAUAUAACGACUUGGUCUCUCCAGUCGAUGACUCGUCGCCGGAAUAAACGACGGUCUCACCACCAGAUUCCGAUCUAUCCUCAGAUUCACCUCCAUGGAUAACUCCCACGAAGGCACGCUUCAUGACAGGCUUGACCCGGGCAGAUCUCGCACGCUGAGCCGUUUCGACGAGGUCGGUGCAGAUGUCCGGCUCAGGGCCCGGUUCACCGAUCUUGCCAAUGAAAAUGUGUAUGCCACCAAAGGGGACCCGGUACCCAUACUCGAUUGAGCCGGCCUCGGGGCCCCAGCCUGCAUCGUCGAUGUAGAGCUUGCCGCGAUGACUCUUGGUCAUCCGGCCCACAACGUAACCCUUGAGUCCUUCGAAGCUGCCCUCCAAGAACUUGAAACCAUCGUGUGAUUGCCCCACAGUGGGCGCCAACUGUCGUGGUUUUGUCACACCAGAUGUCCUAGAGAAAGGACUUAGUCAUGGAGCCAUCGCUAUGGGUUAGCUCGAAGGGGUUAAAGCGGACAAGGGACGCAAGAGAUUUUUAUACUAGUUCGGCCCCUUCGAUGAAGGUAAAAGCCUACGUCUAGUUGUGAUGGAAUUGAUGGGGUUUUGAUGACCAGGGAGCGAAUACGCUUUGCCUGAGUCUCGAGUUGUUGUCUGUUCUUCCUGAACCGCCGCCGGGUCGUCCCCUUAUAUACAUGGGUUGACGCCUGUCGGUUUACAGACUCCGAGGCCGGCUCAUAAUCGUGUCCGGCUUGGUCUCUGCUACGCAUAUCUUACAACACAAGUUUACAUCUCAAUGCCGGUUUGUGUCCACAUGCCUUAAACCGGCUUUGGGCCCUGGGCCUCCAUGAAGCGUCAUCGUCUGUCUUCAUGGGCUUCAGAUACAGAUGAACUACUUAUGAAGUUAACCCGGCCUCUCCUGGCCGGUUUACGCCCAGUGGUAAUAUCCCCAACAACGAGUGAUCGACAUUGGUUGACGAACCAAUUGUCGAGGAGAAUAGGGCGAAGAGAGUUUAUCUUCUAUGUUAAAUAAUAACCCCUCCAACCAGACGUAGUCCUUGUGAAGAAGGACGAACUGGUCUACCAAAUUCCUUGUCGCCAUCGAGCAUCACUGGUUACCUUUGCUUCUCCUCUUUACAUUCGAAUUGUUUCAAUCAUGUGAUUUGUCUCGAUGCAUGCUUUUAGUUUCCAUUUGUUAGCUUGUAUUCGCUCGUUGUACACUGUUUUCAUUCGCUCCGCUGCUGGGUUCCGAGAGUUUUGAGAUUUCCGAAGAAAUUUUAAAACUCCCAUUCACCCCCCCCCCCUCUGGUACACAUACUUCGUUCCUACAGGCUUGCUGGAGAAAGGGCCAUUUGACCUUCUCAUACGCUUUCUCAAAGUCCACUUUGAAUAUAACACCAUCUAGUUUCUUCGUGUCGAUUUCAUGGAGAGUUUCAUGUAAGACGACAACCCCUUCGAGGAUGUGUCGUCCUGGCAUGAACGCGGUUUGGGUUGGUUGAACUACUGAAUGAGCUAUCCGUGUUAACCUAUUCAUGCCAACCUUGGUAAAGAUCUUGAAGCUUACAUUGAGAAGACAGAUCGGCCUGAAUUGCUCAAUGCCAAUUGCCUCCACCUUCUUUGGCAACAACGUUAGUGUUCCAAAAUUUAAGUGGAAUAACUGUAAGUGACCAUCAAACAAGUCCUGGAACAAAGGCAUAAGAUCUCCCUUGAUGAUAUACCAACACCGCUUAUAAAAUUCCGUCGGGAACCCAUCCAGUCCAGGGGCUUUAUUUUGUUUCAUUUGUGAUAUUGCAUCAAACACCUCUUUCUCAGUGAAAGGAGCAGACAGCACCUCAUUCUCGUCGGAGCUAAGCUAAGGUAUGUCCCCGAUCUCGCUCUCAUCUAGGGAUAUAGAAUUUUCAUAUGUUGCUCCGAAAAUCUUCUUAUAAUAACUGGAGAUGUACAGUUUGAGGUUCUCAUGCCCUACAAUCGUACCCUCAUCUUGUUCAAGUUGAAUAAUUUUCUUUUUCCUAUGUCUCCCAUUAGCUAUGAGAUGAAAUAAUUGGGUAUUAUCAUCCCCUUGGACUAUCUUAGAUACCUUCGCUCUAACUGCCCAUUUCAUCUCCUCUUCUCGCAGAAGAGCUUGUAACUUCUUCUCCGCCUCAUUCUUAAUAUUCCAGUCAGACAUAUGAAGAAGUGAGGUUUCCGAUCUCAAAUCAAGCUCAUUAAUAAUUUGUAUCAGUCUUCUUUUCUACUUUAUAUAAACCACUUUGAUUCUUGGCCCAUCCUCUCAAGAAUUGGCGCAAGUGUCUAAUCUUGUUUUGCCAUCUAUCAAUAUUUGAUAUCCCACCCGACUCCUUGGCCCAUUCGGCUGCAAUGAGAUCAAGGAAGCCUUCCCUUUCAAACCAUCCUAAUUCAAAAGAGAAAUUUUUUCUGUUGCCCACAUGUGUCGCUUCCCCCAGAAUCGACCAAUAGUGGAGUGUGAUCAGAAAUAGCCCUUUGUAGGGCAUGAACCGUUACCAAAGGAAAUUUCUGUUCCCACUCAACACUAGUGAGAACCCGGUCUAAUUUCUCAUAAGUAGGUACUGGUAAAGAAUUAGCCCAUGUGAAUUGUCUCCCACUAAGGUCAAUCUCCCUCAAAUCAAGACUUUCAAUGAUUGUAUUAAACAUGAAUGACCAUCUCCCAUCGAAAUUGUUAUUAUUUUUUCGUCUUGUCUUCUAAUUAUAUUGAAGUCUUCCCCCCACCAAAAUGGGAAGUCUUUCAUCACCACAAAUUCUCACCAGAUCCGCUAGGAAAUCCAGUUUGAGCUCUGGCUGGGCCGCACCAUAUACAGCCACCAAAGCCCAUCUGAAGCCAUCAACUUUCGACCGUACUCAAAAUUUGACGAUAAAAUCUCUAUAAACCACAUUUAACACUUCUAAAGAUUCGCACUUCACCCCGAGUAGGAUCCCACAGGACCGACCCCUUGGAGGUAGAACGUGCCAGUCAAAAUCAACCCCACUGGAAAUUGUGUUUAGGAAUUACAAAGUGUAAUUAUCUCUUCAUGUUUCUAAUAGAGCCAUAAAAUCCAAUUUAUGCUCUAUCGCGGUUUCUUGACAUGGCUUGAGACAGCGUUGGUAUUUCCCCAAAGAGGAAGGGAUGAUGCAGCAUAGCUACGGUAAGUAUUUCCCUCAGUUAUGAAACCAAGGUAUCAAUCCAGUAGGAGAACCAAACAACACUAUUUAAACGGUACCUGCACACAAAGAACAAAUACUUGCAACUCGACGCGUAAGUGUUGGGGAACGUAGCAUGCAAUUUCAAAAAAAUUCCUACGAUCACGCAAGAUCUAUCUAGGAGAUACAUAGCAACGAGAGGGGAAGAGUGUGUCCACGUACCCUCGUAGACCGAAAGCGGAAGUGUUAGCCUAACGCGGUUGAUGUAGUCGAACGUCUUCGUGAUCCAACCGAUCAAGCACCGACAUACGGCACCUCCGAGUUCUGCACACGUUCAGCUCGAUGACGUCCCUCGAACUCUUGUUCCAGCAAAGUGUCGAGGGAGAAUUUCUUCAGCACGACGGUGUGGUGACGGUGAUGGUGAUGUGAUCCGCGCAGGGCUUCGCCUAAGCACUACGACAAUAUGGACGGAGGAGUAAACUGUGGAGGGGACACCGCACAUGGCUAAGAGAACAAUUGAUGUGCUUUGGGGUGCCCCCCUGCCCCUGUAUAUAAAGGAUGAGAGGGAGGAGGCCGGCCAUAGGGGGGAACCGACUUGGACUCCUAGUCCUAUUCGCCCCCCCCCCCCCCCCCCAAUUCCUUCUUACAGAGGGGGGAAGGGGGAAGGAGAGGAGAGGGAGAAGGAAAGGGGGGCCGCGUCCCCUCCCCUUGUCCUAUUCGGACUCCCCUUGGGGGGAGCUCCACCCCCUUGUAGGCUGCCCUCUCUCUCCCCUAUGGCCCAUGAGGCCCAAUACUUUCCCCGGGGGGUUCCGGUAACCCCUCGGUACUCCGAUAAAUAUCCGAAACACUCCGAAACCAUUCCGUGUCCGAAUACUAUCGUCCGAUAUAUCAAUAUUUACCUCUCGACCAUUUCGAGGCUCCUCGUCAUGUCCGUGAUCUCAUCCGGGACUCCGAACAAUCUUCGGUCACCAAAACACAUAACUCAUAAUACAAAUCGUCAUCGAACAUGUAAGCGUGCAGGCCCUACGGGUUCGAGAACUAUGUAGACAUGACCGAGAAAUAUCUCCGGUCAAUAACCAAUAGCGGAACCUGGAUGCUCAUAUUGGUUCCUACCUAUUCUACGAAGAUCUUUAUCGGUCAAACCGCAAUGACAACAUACAUUAUUCCCUUUGUCAUCGGUAUGUUACUUGCCUGAGAUUCGAUCGUUGGUAUCCUCAUACCUAGUUCAAUAUCGUUACCGGCAAGUCUCUUUACUCGUUCCGUAAUGCAUCAUCCCGCAACUAACUCAUUAGUCACAUUACUUGCAAGGCUUAUCGUGAUGUGCAUUACCGAGAGGGCCCAGAGAUACCUCUUCGAUACUCGGAGUGGCAAAUCCUAAUCUUGAUCUAUGCCAACCCAACAAACACCUUCGGAGACACUCGUAGAGCAUCUUUAUAAUCACCCAGUUACGUUGUGACGUUUGAUAGCACACAAGGUGUUCGUGCGGUAUUCGGGAGUUGCAUAAUAUCAUAGUCAUAGGAAUAUGUAUAAGUCAUGAAGAAAGCAAUCACAAUAAAACUUAAUGAUCAGUAUGCUAAGCUAACGGAUGGGUCUUGUCCAUCACAUCAUUCUCUAAUGAUGUGAUCCCGUUCAUCAAAUGACAACACAUGUCUAUGGUCAGGAAACUUAACCAUCUUUGAUUAACGAGCUAGUCAAGUAGAGGCAUACUAGGGACACUUUUUUUUGUCUAUGUAUUCACACAUGUAUCAAGUUUCUGGUUAAUAUAAUUCUAGCAUGAAUAAUAAACAUUUAUCAUGAUAUAAGGAAAUAUAAAUAACAACUUUAUUAUUGCCUCUAGGGCAUAUUUCUUUCAGUCUCCCACUUGCACUUGAAUCAAUAAUCUAGAUUACAUUGUAAUGAUUCUAACACCCAUGGAGUCUUGGUUUUGAUCAUGUUUUGCUCAUGGAAGAGGCUUACUCAAUGGGUUUGCAACAUUCAGAUCCGUAUGUAUUUUGCAAAUCUCUAUGUCUCCCUCCUUGACUUGAUCACGGAUGGAGUUGAAGCGUCUCUUGAUGUGUUUGGUUCUCUUGUGAAAUCUGGAUUCCUUCGCUAAGGCAAUUGCUCCAGUAUUGUCACAAAAGAUUUUCAUUGGACCUGAUGCACUAGGUAUUACACCUAGAUCGGAUAUGAACUCCUUCAUCCAGACUCCUUCAUUUGCUGCUUCCGAAGCAGCUAUGUACUCCGCUUCACACGUAGAUCCCGCCACGACGCUUUGCUUGGAACUGCACCAACUGACAGCUCCACCAUUCAAUAUAAAUACGUAUCCGGUUUGCGACUUAGAUUCAUCCGGGUCAGUGUCAAAACUAGCAUCGACGUAACCAUUUAUGACGAGCUCUUUGCCACCUUCAUAAACGAGAAACAUAUCCUUAGUCCUUUUCAGGUAUUUCAGGAUGUUCUUGACCGUUGUCCAAUGAUCCACUCCUGGAUUACUUUGGUACCUCCAUACUAAACUUAUAGCAAAGCACACAUCAGGUCUGGUACAUAGCAUUGCAUACAUGAUAGAACCUAUGGCUGAGGCAUAGGGAAUGACUUUCAUUUUCUCUCUAUCUUCUACAGUGGUCGGGCAUUGAGUCUGACUCAACUUCACACCUUGUAACACAUGCAAGAACCAUUUUUUGACUGAUCCAUUUUGAACUUCUUCAAAACGUUAUGAAGGUAUGUGCUUUGUGAAAGUCCAAUUAAGCGUCUUGAUCUAUCCCUAUAGAUCUUGAUGCCCAAUAUAUAAGCAGCUUCACCGAGGUCUUUCUUUAAAAAAUUCUUAUUCAAGUAUCCUUUUAUGAUAUCCAGAAAUUCUAUAUCAUUUCCAAUCAACAAUAUGUCAUCCACAUAUAAUAUUAGAAAUGCUACAGAGCUCCCACUCACUUUCUUGUAAAUACAGGCUUCUCCAAAAGUCUGUAUAAAACCAUAUGCUUUGAUCACACUAUCAAAGCGUAUAUUCCAACUCUGGGAGGCUUGCACCAGUCCAUAAAUGGAUCGCUGGAGCUUGCACACUUUGUUAGCACCUUUAGGGUCGACAAAACCUUCUGGUUGCAUCAUAUAAAACUCUUCUUUAAGAAAUCCAUUAAGGAAUGCAGUUUUCACAUCCAUUUGCCAAAUUUCGUAAUCAUAAAAUGCGGCAAUUGCUAACGUGAUUCAGACAGACUUAAGCAUCGCUACGAGUGAGAAGGUCUCAUCGUAGUCAACUCCUUGAACUUGUCGAAAACCUUUCGCAACAAGUCGAGCUUUGUAGAUAGUAACAUUACCAUCAACGUCAGUAUUCUUCUUGAAGAUCCAUUUAUUUUCUAUGGCUUGCCGAUCAUCGGGCAAGUCAACCAAAGUCCAUACUUUGUUUUCAUACAUGGAUCCCAUCUCAGAUUUCAUGGCCUCAAGCCAUUUCGCAGAAUAUGGGCUCAUCAUCGCUUCCUCAUAGUUCGUAGGUUCAUCAUGGUCUAGUAACAUGACUUCCAGAACAAGAUUACCGUACCACUCUGGUGCGGAACGUACUCUGGUUGACCUACGAGGUUCGGUAGUAACUUGAUCUGAAGUUUCAUCAUCAUCAUCAUUAACUUCCUCACUAAUUGGUGUAGGCAUCACUGGAACUGAUUUCUGUGAUGAACUACUUUCCAACUCGAGAGAAGGUACAAUUACCUCAUAAAGUUCUACUUUCCUCCCACUCACUUCUUUUGAGAGAAACUCCUUCUCUAGAAAGGAUUCAUUCUUAGCAACAAAUAUCUUGCCUUCGGAUCUGUGAUAGAAGGUGUACCCAACAGUUUCUUUUGGGUAUCCUAUGAAGACGCACUCCUCCGAUUUGGGUUCGAGCUUAUCAGGCUGAAGCUUUUUCACAUAAGCAUCGCAACCCCAAACUUUAAGAAACGACAGAUUAGGUUUCUUGCCAAACCACAGUUCAUAUGGUGUGGUCUUAGCGGAUUUAGAUGAUGCCCUAUUUAACGUGAAUGCAGUCGUCUCUAAUGCAUAACCCUAAAACGAUAGUGGUAAAUUGGUAAGAGACAUCAUAGAUCACACCAUAUCAAAUAAAGUACAGUUACGACGUUCGGACACACCAUUACGCUGUGGUGUUCUAGGUGGCGUGAGUUGUGAAACUAUUCCACAUUGUUCCAAAUGAAGACCAAACUCGUAACUCAAAUAUUCACCUCCGCGAUCAGAUCAUAGAAACUUUAUUUUCUUGUUACGAUGAUUUUCCACUUCACUCUGAAAUUCUUUGAACUUUUCAAAUGUUUCAGACUUAUGUUUCAUUAAGUAGAUAUACCCAUAUCUGCUCAAAUCAUCUGUGAAGGUCAGAAAAUAACGAUACCCGCCGCGAGCCUCAACACUCAUCGGACCGCAUACAUCAGUAUGUAUUAUUUCCAAUAAGUCAGUGGCUCGCUCCAUUGUUCCGGAGAACGGAGUCUUAGUCAUCUUGCCCAUGAGGCAUGGUUCGCAAGAAUCAAGUGAUUCAUAAUCAACAGAUUCCAAAACCCCAUCUGCAUGGAGUUUCUUCAUGCACUUUACACCAAUAUGACCUAAACGGCAGUGCCACAAAUAAGUUGCACUAUCAUUAUUAACUUUGCAUCUUUUGGCAUCAAUAUUAUGAAUGUGUGUAUCACUACGAUUGAGAUUCAACAAAAAUAGACCACUCAUCAAGGGUGCAUGACCAUAAAAGAUAUUACUCAUAUAAAUAGAACAACCAUUAUUCUCUGAUUUAAAUGAAUAACCGUCUCGCAUCAAACAAGAUCCAGAUAUAAUGUUCAUGCUCAACGCUGGCACCAAAUAACAAUUAUUUAGGUCUAAAACUAAUCCCGAAGGUAGAUGUAGAGGUAGCGUGCCGACGGCGAUCACAUCGACCUUGGAACCAUUUCCGACGCGCAUCGUCACCUCGUCCUUAGCCAAUCUUUGUUUAAUCUGUAGCCCCUAUUUCGAGUUGCAAAUAUGAGCAACAGAACCAGUAUCAAAUACCCAGGCGCUACUACGAGCAUUGGUAAGGUACACAUCAAUAACAUGUAUAUCAAAUAUACCUUCCACUUUUCUAUCCUUCUUAUCCGCCAAAUACUUGGGGCAGUUCCGCUUCGAGUGACCAGUCCCUUUGCAGUAGAAGCACUCAGUUUCAGGCUUAGGUCCAGACUUGGGCUUCUUCCCGGGAGCAGCAACUUGCUUGCUAUUCUUCUUGAAGUUCCCCUUCUUACCUUUGCCCUUCUUCUUAAAACUAGUGGUCUUAUUAAUCAUCAACACUUGAUGCUCCUUCGUGAUUUCUACCUCGGCGGCCUUAAGCAUUGUGAAGAGCUCGGGAAUUGUCUUUUCCAUCCCUUGCAUAUUAUAGUUCAUCACGAAGCCUUUGUAGCUUGGUGGCAGUGAUUGAAGAACUCUGUCAAUAACACUAUCAUCCGAAAGAUUAACUCCCAGCUGAGUCAAGUGGUUAUGGUACCCAGACAUUCUGAGUAUGCGUUCACUGACAGAACUGUUCUCCUCCAUCUUGCAGCUAUAGAACUUGUUGGAGACUUCAUUUCUCUCAACUGAGGCAUUUCCUUGAAAUAUUAACUUCAACUCCUGGAACAUCUCAUAUGCUCCAUGACGUUCAAAACGUCUUUGAAGUCCCGAUUCUAAGCCGUAAAGUAUGACACACUGAAUUAUCGAGUAGUCAUCAGAUUUAGCUUGCCAGACGUUCAUAACGUCCGGAGUUGCUCCUGUAGCAGGCCUUGCACCUAGCGGUGCUUCAAGGACGUAAUUCUUCUGUGCAGCAAUGAGGAUAAUCCUCAAGUUACGGACCCAGUCCGUGUAGUUUCUACCAUCAUCUUUCAACUUAGCUUUCUCUAGGAACCCAUUAAAAUUCAAGGGAACGGUAGCACGGGCCAUUGAUCUACAACAUAGAUAUGCAAAAACUAUCAGGACUAAGUUCAUGACAAAUUUAAGUUCAAUUAAUCAUAUUACUAAAGAACUCCCACUUAGAUAGACAUCCCUCGAGUCAUCUAAAUGAUCACGUGAUCCAUAUCAACUAAACCAUGUCCGAUCAUCACGUGAGAUGGAGUAGUUUUCAAUGGUGAACAUCUCUAUGUUGAUCAUAUCUACUAUAUGAUUCAAGUUUGACCUUUCGGUCUCAGUGUUCUGAGGUCAUGUCUGUACAUGCUAGGCUCGUUAAGUUUAACCCGAGUAUUCCGCACGUGCAAAACUGUCUUGCACCCGUUGUAUGUGAAUGUAGAGCUUAUCACACCUGAUCAUCACGUGGUGUCUUGGCACGACGAACUAUCGCAACGGUGCAUACUCAGGGAGAACACUUAUACCUUGAAAUUUAGUGAGGGAUCAUCUUAUAAUGCUACCGCCGUACUAAGCAAAAUAAGAUGCAUAAAAGAUAAACAUCACAUGCAAUAAAAAAUAUGUGACAUGAUAUGGCCAUCACCAUCUUGUGCCUUUGAUCUCUAUCUCCAAAGCACCGUCAUGAUCUCCAUCAUCACCGGCUUGACACCUUGAUCUCCAUCGUAGCGUUGUUGUCGUCUCGCCAACUAUUGCUUCUACAACUAUCGUUACUGCAUAGUGAUAAAGUAAAGCAAUUACAUGGCGAUUGCAUUUCAUACAAUAAAGCGACAACCAUAAGGCUCCUGCCAGUUGCCGAUAACUUUUACAAAACAUAAUCAUCUCAUACAAAAACGUAUAUCACAUCAUGUCUUGACCAUAUCACAUCACAACAUGCCCUGCAAAAACAAGUUAGACAUCCUCUAGUUUGUUGUUGCAAGUUUUACAUGGCUGCUACGGGCUUCUAGUAAGAACCGUUCUUACCUACGCAUCAAAACCACAACGAUUUUUUGUCAAGUGUGUUGUUUUAACCUUCAACAAGGACCGGUCGUAGUCAAAUUCGAUUCAACUAAAGUUGGAGAAACAGACACCCGCCAGCCACCUUUAUGCAAAACAAGUUGCAUGUUUGUCGGUGGAACCGGUCUCAUGAACAUGGUCAUGUAAGGUUGGUCCGGGCCGCUUCAUCUAACAAUACCGCCAAAUCAAAAUAAGACAUUGGUGGUAAGCAGUAUGACUAUGAUCGCCCACAACUCUUUGUGUUCUACUCGUGCAUAUCAUCUACGCAUAGACAUGGCUCGGAUGCCACUGUUGGGGAACGUAGCAUGCAAUCUCAAAAAAAUCCCUACGAUCACGCAAGAUCUAUCUAGGAGAUGCAUAGCAACGAGAGGGGAAGAGUGUUCCAUGUACCCUCGUAGACCGAAAGCGGAAACGUUAGCUUAACGCAGUUUAUGUAGUCGAACGUCUUCGCGAUCCAACCGAUCAAGCACCGAAUAUACGGCACCUCCGAGUUCUGCACACGUUCAGCUCAAUGACGUCCCUCGAACUCUUGAUCCAGCAAAGUGUCGAGGGAGAAUUUCGUCAGCACGACGGCGUGGUGAUGGUGAUGGUGAUAUGAUUCGCGCAGGGCUUCGCCUAAGCACUACGACAAUAUGACCGGAGGAGUAAACUGUGGAGGGGGGCACCGCACACGGCUAAGAGAACAAUUGACGUGCUUUGGGGUGCCCCCCUGCCCCCGUAUGUAAAGGAGGAGAGGGAGGAGGCCGGCCCUAGGGGCGCGCCAUGGGGGGCACCGACUUGGACUCCUAGUCCUAGUCGCCUCCCCCCUUCCUUCUUACGGAGGGGGAAGGAGAGGAGAGGGAGAAGGAAAGGGGGCUGCGCCCCCUCCCCUUGUCCUACUCAGACUCCCCUUGGGGGAUCCGGCUUGCCUGCUCCCUUCCCAUGCUCCCAUCCGUGCUCCCACCUCAUCCUACGUCUGUCUUUUUUUCCUUUUUCCUUUCUAAUCUAAUCAUAUCCCCCCCUGAUUUUAAGGGGGUGGGGCCGGGCCUUAUUUUGUUCCAAUCAAAUUAAGCCACGUAUGCGGGAGCACAGAUGGGAGCAUGGGAAGGGAGAAGGUAAGUCUCGUCCCCCUUGGGGGGCAUGCGCCACCCCCUUGUGGGCUGCCCUCUCUCUCCCCUAUGGCCCAUGAUGCCCAAUACUUUCCCCGGGGGGUUCCGGUAACCCCUCGGUACUCCGAUAAAUAUCCGAAACGCUCUAAAACCAUUCCGGUGUCCGGAUACUAUCGUCCAAUAUAUCAAUCUUUACCUCUCGACCAUUUCGAGGCUCCUCGUCAUGUCUGUGAUCUCAUCUGGGACUCCGAACAAUCUUCGGUCACCAAAAUACAUAACUCAUAAUACAAAUCGUCAUCGAACGUUUAAGCGUGCGGACCCUACGGGUUCGAUAACUAUGUAGGCAUGACCGAGACAUAUCUCUGGUUAAUAACCAACAGUGGAACCUGGAUGCUCAUAUUGGUUCCUACAUAUUCUACGAAGAUCUUUUCCGGUCAAACCGCAAUGAAAACAUACGUUAUUCCCUUUGUCAUCGGUAUGUUACUUGCCCGAGAUUCGAUCGUCGGUAUCCUCAUACCUAGUUCAAUCUCGUUACUGACAACUCUCUUUACUCGUUCAUUAAUGCAUCAUCCCGCAACUAACUCAUUAGUCACAUUGCUUGUAAGGCUUAUCGUGAUGUGCAUUACCGAGAGGGCCCAGAGAUACCUCUCUGAUACUCGGAGUGACAAAUCCUAAUCUCGAUCUAUGUCAACCCAACAAACACCUUCGGAGACACCUGUAGAGCAUCUUUGUAAUCACCCAGUUAUGUUGUGAAGUUUGAUAGCACAGAAGGUGUUCCUCCGGUAUUCGGGAGUUGCAUAAUCUCAUAGUCAAAGGAAUAUGUAUAAGUCAUGAAGAAAGCAAUAGCAAUAAAACUUAACGAUCAUUAUGGUAAGCUAAUGGAUGGGUCUUGUCCAUCACAUCAUUCUCCUAAUGAUGUGAUCCCGUUCAUCAAAUGACAACACAUGUCUAUGGUCAGGAAACUUAACCAUCUUUGAUUAACGAGCUACUCAAGUAGAGGCAUACUAGGGACACUUUGUUUUGUCUAUGUAUUCACACAUGUAUCAAGUUUCCGGUUAAUACAAUUCUAGCAUGAAUAGUAUACAUUUAUCAUGAUAUAAGGAAAUAUAAAUAACAACUUUAUUAUUGCCUCUAGGGCAUAUUUCCUUCAGUAAGAGGGGUUGUCAAUCCCUCCACGGUAAAAAGAUAGAUUGUUUUGUAUGAUAUUGGAUAAAUAGAUCUGAAUAGAACACGAAAUAAAAUAAGUAAAGAAAAAGUGCAACAAGAUAUUUUUUGGUUUUUGGAAUAAUAGAUCUGAAAACAAAUACGAUAAAAGAUAGAUCUGAAAGCAAUGUGAUAAAAGAUAGACCCGGGGGCGUAGAUUUCACUAGUGGCUUCUCUCGAGAAAAUAGCAUACGGUGGGUAAACAAAUUACUGUUGGGCAAUUGAUAGAAGAACAAAUAAUUAUGAUGAUAUCCAAGGCAAUGAUCAUGAAUAUAGGCAUCGCAUCCAAGAUUAGUAGACCGAAAUGAUUCUACAUCUACUACUAUUACUCCACACAUCGACCGCUAUCCAGCAUGCAUCUAGUGUAUUAAAUUCAUGGAAAAACGGAGUAAUGCAAUAAGAACGAUGGCAUGAUGUAGACAAGAUAUAUUCAUGUAGGAAUAGACGCCAUUUUUUAUCCUUAAUAGCAACGGUACAUACGUGCCUCGCUACCCCUUCUGUCACUGGGUGAGGACACGUAAGAUCGAACCCAUCACAAAGCACCUCUUCCCAUUGCAAGAAAAAUCGAUCUAGUUGGCCUAACUAAACCAAAGAUUCGAAAAAGAAAUACGAGGCUAUAAAUAAUCGUGCAUAUAAGAGAUCAAAGAAAACUCAAAUAAUAUUCAUGGAUAUAGAUCUGAUCAUAAACUCAAAUUCAUCAUAUCCCAACAAACUCACCGCAAAAAGUCAUUACAUCAAAUAGAUCUCCAAGAAACCAUUGUAUUGAGAAUCAAAAAGAGAGAAGAAGCCAUCUAGCUACUACCUACGGACCCGUAAGUCUAUAGUGAACUACUCACGCAUCAUCGAAGGAGCACCAAUGAGGACGAUGAACCCCUCCAUGGUCGUGUUCCCCUCCAGUAGAGUGACGGAAUAGGGCUCUAGAUUGGAUCUCGUGGUUAUGGAACUUGCGGCGGCUGGAAUUGUGUUUCGUCGACUCCCCUAGGGUUUCUGGAAUAUUUGGGUAUUUAUAGAGCUGAGAGGCGGUGGAGGAGACCCCCGUGGGCCCCAUAACCCAUCAGGGUGCGCCAGGGGCCUCUGUCGCGCCUUGAUGUCUUGUGGGCCCCACGGGCCUCCCCCCAGGUGCUUCCUUGGCUCCCAAGUUGUCUUCUGGACCCAAAAAAUCUCCAAAAAGUUUCGCUGUGUUUGGACUCCGUUUGAUAGGGAUAUUCUGCGAAGUAAAAAAAACAAGCAAAAAAUAGCAAGUGGCACUGGGCACUAUGUCAAUAGGUUAGUCCCAAAAAAUGAUAUAAAGUUGCUAUAAAAUGAUUGUAAAACAUCCAAGAAUGAUAAUAUAACAGCAUGGAACAAUCAAAAAUUAUAGAUACGUUGGAGACGUAUCAUUUCUCUAAGGAAUCUUCUUUUAGCCAAGUCCGGUAGACCUCUGCUAUUCCAGAGAAUCCCUUUCAUAGAUCAUCGUGGAAUUAUUUUCUUUUGUUUAACUCUAGCACUUCUAUGCACUGCCGAUAUAGGAUAAACCUUCCUCUUCCAGGUUUUUUUUGGUUUAUCCUUCACCACCUCUGCGUCGUCAUGAUCAGUGGAAAUGGUAGAACUGACACCUGUUUGCAGAGGGGCGAUAUACCCCUCUGAAACCACAUCCUCAUCCUCGGUUUCUACUCCCUCUGUGGGAAUCAAAUCCUCACAUAGUGACUGUAAAGCGGUAACCCCAAACUUAUUAAUGUCUGAAUUAUUCAAAGGUUUGACUACUGCCAUAUUUUGAAUUAACUCUAUGGCUUUGUCCGCUUCUAAGUCUAACAAAUCAUUAAUGGAUUUGGUUGUUUCUUUGUCAUUGCUACCAAGAGAUAUCCCUUGGUUGUGGGUUUUAUCUAAAAUCUCAUGUUCAGAAAAGUGAAGAAUGGAACAACUAGUAUUUACCGACAUACGUGUAUUUGCUUCAAUAUCUCGAAGCUUGGCGGCCCUCAUCGCUCGCCCGAUCUGUAUGUCAUCGGCAUCAGGCUAAGACUGAAUCUGGUGACUAAAGCGCCUGCCCCCGGACGCAGGAUCCGGGAUCCCACCAAAAGCUAUCACCUCCUCCAUAGUCACUCCGUCCAAGCUUUGGCCGCCUACCAUGUGCCCAGCGACAGCAACCUUGGGAGAUAGCGUCGUAGACUCCUCUGGUGCAUCGUCCACCCUGCCGGUCGAUGCGCUGAAGUCAGACAGGAGGUCCCCCGCUCCAAACCGGGACGCCACCUCCUGUGGCGUGCCAGUCUGUCGUGAUGAUGAAGAUCUCAGGGUAGGGGAUGGCACAUCCGACCGACCGGCCGUGUAAGCCACCUCCUCCACAAGCGGUGGAGCAACCUCAAAAGACUGCCCAUCCCCCCUCUCAGCAGAAGUGUGCGGCAAAGAUAACGGGGAAGACGGAGUAGUCCCUUGGGUCUCCUGCCAGAUGUGAAUCACUUCCGCCUGCACCUGCUACUCAACCACCGAGUCUGUGGCUAUGAUGUCAUUCUCCACUUCCAUCUCCACUCGGUCACCAUAAGCGACUCGGUGCUGACAUCGCCUGAAACGAUCCAAAACACAGAGAAGUUGUGGGAGUGGAAGAAGGGGCCGACCCCUUAUCAGUCCUCGGCUGCGCCGACUAAGCGGGCUUUGUCGCCGGUAGAUUCUGUCCACCAAAAUCACCAGACUUCCCCUCCACCUCUUUGUUACCGUUGUCAUCACCACCGUCGGUCAUGUCCACAUCUUUACUUGUAGAGACAUUAUCUGUCGCAUGGCCCUCCUCAACCACAACCUGGAUAUCAUACGCCACUCCAUCAUACACCCACGGAACAGAAUCCGGAACAUACUCCGAAUCAAUAACACUAACUAGCAUCCUCGCAGUGCCAUGCAUACGGGUAAAAGGCAUAUCAACCUUCUCAGUUUUACCAAGCAAAGACCCGAGACUCCAAACAAUAAUGAAGUCAUUCAGCAGUUCCUCUGUUAUGCCUGGCAGUCUGACCCAGAUCUGCUCCAAUGGUGAUCCCGUCGGCUCUGGUUUUUUGCAUUUAUCGAACUCCAGAACACACUUGCUCCCAGUCACCUUGCUGAACCCAAACUUCAACAGACGAUCCAAGUCCUCCCUCCUGGGGAACUCAACUCUGUAUACCUAAUCAUCCACCAGAACAAGAGCCUAAUGGAAGGACUCCGAAACCAGCUGUCUGAGCUCCCGAGACACCUGUUCAUCUGUCAGUGUCCCCUUAGUCACCUUGACUAGACCGAACUUCGAGCACUCCCGGCGAGCGGUCACUGAGACCAUGCGUGGAGUUUCAAAGAACCUAAGCUUAUUGUUGCAAACACCAUAUAUAGUCACCACAGGCUUAGGAGCCGAAAGCAAAGCACAAUUAUCCGAUGAGUGCCCAGGUUUGAGGCAAAUGUCAGACAAGACCGUCAUGCAAUCAAUCACAAAGUGACCUGGCUCACCACAUUAAUAACAGCUCAUCUUUUCCUUCUUACGCGCCGCCUUAUUAGCACGCACCAUCUCUGCUUUAUCGCUACCUUUGUCACUUUGAGCAUAUCUGUCAUCUGUAGGUGUGGAUGUGGGAACAGACACCGAUGCCAAUGCCUUAACUGCCGCCGCCUCAGGCAGUGUUACAGAGGAAGAAGCGGCGACGUCCGCCGCUUUGGCCGCCCCGCUGCCAGUCCCCGCUGGCGGGAGUGUCAGCUUAGGAGCCGUUUUGGGCACAUAGGGGCGGCGCGGAGGUGGGUUACGACCGAACCCAGCACCCCCACCCCGACCACCUCUUUGGCGGUAGUGCGGUCCCGUGGCGCCUUCGACGAACUCGUCGGGUGGUGGGUUAAAGUUUCGCUGCCAUUGGUUUCCGACGAAGACGCGCCCUCCACUGUUGUUCCACUGAUUCCAUCCACGUCCAUCGUAUCCGCGGCCUCGCCUGCCGGGCAGGCGCCCCGGGAACCGCAGGCCUCCGAUCGAGUCUCCGGUCCGCGAGAUCGAUCGGAGUGCCAAGAUCCCUGCCACCACUUUCCCCGGCGCCCGUGCGGGCUUUCCCGGCGGUCGUCUCCGGUGGCGGCGAGGAAGGAAGGGGAGGCGGCGCGGUGGAUCCCUAAUCGCCCCCGAGUCGCCUGAUGGACGACACAAGGGCCGAUCGUGAAAGUCAGAUAGCAUUGUCGAUGUAGUCAGCAGAAAACCGAAAAUGAGCAUGAUGUUGUAUUAUGAAGAAACAACAAUAUUCAGAUUUGUUUCCUACUCCUUUUUAUCAUUUCGAAAGUAUACAGAUUAAAAUUGAUUUCUUUUCCUUUUCCUGUAAAUAGAUAUAAAACAACGAUUUUCAUAAAAGUAGCCGAUGCCCUUUAGGCCAUAAAAGGAAAUAUAAAUAAAAUUUGUGAGAUUUAAAACAUCAAAGCAAAAAGGUCCUCACGAAUAGCUGAAAAAAGAAAAGAAAGAAAACUCAAUCAUGCUAUAGCCACAGAUCUAGACACAAUAAGACAGUCUUGGAAAUCUAAAUUAAUUCAGAAUGAUGAUUCUCGAGGAAUAAAUAGGAUUUGAACUAUAUCAGUAGAGGUAAAUUUAUUGAAUUUUACUGUCUUGAAACUGCUACUCAUAUGAGCAACGCGAGUAAUCCCCAUCCUUUGUACCAGAGGUCAACUGAUGAUCUGAACAGAAGGGACCACAAAUGGACUUGUACGUAAACAGCUCGCCCCUAGACCAACCGCUACAUCUUCUCUCAUUUUAAAAUACACCGGCCCUACGCCGCGCCUCUACCUGCCAGUUAGCCAAUUCUGAUUAUGAAGCGAAGCGUUGUGCUAAUACACAGCAAAAUACAGAAUUCUGAUGUGCAAGGUUGGCUGGUGCAGAUAGCGGCAGUACCUGGGCUGGAGGCCCGUUUCGAAUUUGCCGACACAUACACACGAUCAAGCACGCAAAGACCGCGUUCCCACGCCGUCGAGGUGCGCAGCCUGGCACCAGACAACGACGCAUGCAGCCUUCGCACAGGCGAGGCGACCAUCGUCGGCGGUGGCGUCACGGGGCCGGGCGCGGGAACGCUACGCCCGCUUUUCACACACUGCUGCGUUCGGGACCAAACGAGCCAACAUCAUCGGCCACGGCGCUAUGAAUCGUGUCAGCCCAGUCACGAGCGCCGCGUGUGUCCCGCGCCCGGCCGCACACACAUCAGCGGGCCUUCUAGAACCAACUCGAUAUUACGGCCCAGACUCGCCGACGGGGUGGGCCCACGCGUCAAAACCCAGGAUUCCUCGCGUGGGCGUGCGUAUAUAGAUCUCAGCCCAGAGAGACAGAGGACGUGUACCCCAAGAACCAGAGAGCCAACCAACCCAACCCCUGAGCAUCUCCGGCCACGCAUCCGCUAAGCACACGCAAACAGCCGCCCCCACGAUACUCACGAGGCUUCUUCCCCUCCGUGCGCUCUCUUCUUUCCCCCGUCCCAUGGCCACCCCAGCGACGACGCCGGCGACGAUGCGGGCCGUGCAGUACGACGCCUGCGGCGGAGGCGCCGUCGGCCUCAAGGUAAACAGUUACUGUUCGGGAUAGCGGGUCGAAGCUUGUUAGUUUGCUUUGUGUUCUGGUCGGCGCGCGAGAUUGGUAUCCUUGGUGCCAAGGAUGAUUUGGGCGAUUCACUGGCUAAUUGACUACACUUAGUACUAAGUAUUAGAGUAUAUGUUAGGAACCCCUUGGUGGAGAUCGCAGUCAGUUCACUUGAAUCCUUUCUUUUGAAUUGUUUUUUAUGGCAAGACAAAUAGCCAAGUAGCUAGCUGUAGCUUACUCAAGUAAUAAAACUUUGCUCUAGCGGCUUUUGCUGUAUAAUUUGUGAUGGGCACUCGGUGGUUGUAUGAUCUAUUGAGUAAUUUAGUGGUUUCUAUGGUGGUCGUGUGUUGCACUAGCUAGAUAUAUUCUCUCUUUCUCGUGUCUACUUGGCUUUAGGAGUGGUUAAGAUGUGUUACAGUGGAAUUAGUUAAAUAGGUCGCGCAUACCUGCUGUUGGAUGCUCGGAAAAGCACUGCACAAUAGUUUUUGUAUUGUGACCCAUGAGUCAGCACCCCUGGAUCCCAAACAUAUUCCGAUGACGAGUCAGUCGGAAAUUUAUUAUUUAAAAGUUGCACAUGUCUGGUGUUAGAUGAUUGGAAAAGCACCAGAGACAACUUAUUGUAAAUUUUAAUAAGAUUGAGAUGACCAAGUCAGUUGUGUGAGCUCCCAUUGUGAGUCAAUCGGUCGACGGGGGAUUCUUUUCACAAGAACCCUAUUUUAGCCUAGAGAGGUUUGCCGGACAGCUUGAUGCUUAUACCGCUUAAUUAAUUAACAAACAAAUCAAAGUAGUUUGUUUUUUAAAAGAAAGGAGAACAGUAAACAUAAUAUUUCCUUCUUCCAUGAAGAUGAACCAGUAGAACCUAUAAACCUGUGAUUCUGAAAUCUCUCUAAUGCAGCAUGUAGAAGUCCCCGUCCCUUCAGCAAAGAAGAAUGAGGUCCUGCUGAAACUGCAAGCUGCAACCAUCAACCCAGUUGACUGGAAGAUACAGAAGGGGGACAUGCGGCCUCUGCUGCCUCGUAGACUGCCUUUUAUCCCAGGUAACUAUCCUCAUUCAUAGUGCCACUGCGUGGAUGCUAGCCAUUUUCUAUCAACCAUGGAUUCUGUUUGGAGGUUUCCUAUGUAGAGAACAAAAUAGCACCAAGCGUAGUUAUGAGAACGUUAUUUCAUCAUGUCAGUCUUGCUAUGUUAUUUUGUUCUUCACCUUUAACAACUAUCCAGGAUGUCUCUUAUCUGAUAAUCAGCUUAUGAUAAAGAUAGCAUAUGUGUGUGUGUGUGUGUGUGUGUGUGUGUGUGUGUGUGUGUUUGUGUGUGUGUGUGUGUGCAUGAAACAACUUGCUGAUAGAUGAACUUGCUGAUAGAUGCAUCUCUUCUCUACUGCUCCUUUUCUUGCAGUGACUGAUGUUGCAGGAGUAGUUGUUGAUGUUGGUCCCGGAGUGAAAGGUCUCACAGCGGGUGAUCAAGUCGUCGCCAUGCUGAACUCUUUUGUGAGUGAAGUUCACUCAUGACAACACAUUUCCAUGUUUGUCAUCUUCAUACUUAGAAAGAAGAUGAUUUCAGAACAAAUUCGCUUCUUUUAAAGAAAAACAAUAUUGCUGUAAACUCGUUAAUGUGAUAAUGUCUUUUGCUGUUACAGAACGGAGGUGGACUGGCAGAGUAUGCUGUAGCAUCCGCAAACCUGACCGUCAAAAGGCCAGCUGAGGUUUCUGCAGCUGAGGGUGCUGGGCUUCCUAUUGCUGCAGGCACUGCGCUCCAGGCACUGAGGUCCAUUGGUGCCAAGUUUGACGGCACCGGCAAGCCAUUAAACGUGUUGGUCACCGCUGCCUCUGGCGGCGUAGGCCUGUACGCGGUGCAGCUUGCAAAGCUAGCGAACCUUCAUGUUACCGCCACCUGCGGCGCACGCAACAUGGAUCUUGUGAAGAGCUUGGGCGCAGACGAGGUGAUGGACUACAGGACCCCAGAGGGGGCGAGCCUGCAGAGCCCCUCCGGCAGGAAGUACGACGGCGUGGUUCACUGCACCAUCGGUGUCAGCUGGUCGUCUUUCCAGCCAUUGCUCAGUGAUGCCGGGAGAGUGAUCGACAUCACCCCCAACUUCUCGGCCAUCCUCACAUCUGCGCUGCACAGGGUGACAUUUUCCAAGAAGCGCCUGGUGCCCCUGCUCCUGUCGCCCAACAAGGCGGACCUGGAGUUCUUGGUUGGGUUGCUCAAGGAAGGCAAGCUGAAGACGGUGAUCGACUCGAAGUUCCCGUUGAGCGACGCAGGCAAGGCGUGGCAGAGCAGUAUCGAUGGCCAUGCCACUGGUAAGAUUGCCGUUGAGAUAGAGAGCUGAUCGUCGUCGACGCUUGCUAGUAUUACAAAAGGACUUGCAUACAGACAGUGGACGUGAAUACUUAUUAGGAUGUAAUCAUACAGACUAGUCACUUGUGCGUUUGUUUAUUGGGGUGAUGUUCGUUUAUUCAGCUUAUUAUAUUAUCUUGUUAAAAGGGUAUUGAGAGAUAUGAGUUGCAACAAACUGUAUAUGGCUAUCGUAAACAAUAGCAUUGUGCUGUCAAAAAUACAGUUCGCUCUUUGCUGAUGCUUUGUGAACCACCACAAAGUGCUGCAGUGGUCAUCUGUUGGCCAGAAUUCAGUAUCACCUUCAGUUUUUUCUCGAUCCAAACAAAGAACCGUUGACCUCUGCAGAAGAACAAAUCGUAUACUGAGAGCCCAAAGCAGAACAGUAGGGGCGUAGGACGUCUCUUGAAUAUAGCAGACCAAAUUAGGAAGUUCAAUUCCAAAGCACAGGGACUGUGAUGCCAUUUAGUCGUUCCAGAAAAAGGGGUUUGGUGCACUAAUUUUUUUUAAAACGAGGCAAAAGAUUUGCCAUUUUUAUUGAAUAAGAGAGGAGUUUAGAGUUGAUGGCCAAAGGCCUGAUUACAGGCCACUGCUCUCGCAGCAUAAUAUUACACAAAUGCUUUGCGCCCGCAAGGCUUCAAAGCGAGCAUUCAUCUUUAAUCUUGACGACUAACACUCCUACCAGGACCGCGGUAUUACGGAAAACCCAAGCGUUUCGCUCCAUCCAAAUCUCCGAAGAGACAAGCAACUCUAAACAAUUACCCACACCAGUUAAUAAAAACUGAAGUUGACUUGCACAGCAAAUCAAGCUCGUGACGAUACGGCGUAAACUACUUGUGCUCCGUCUUGUGCGAAUCAGGUGACCUAGUUUAAAUAAUCAAAAAGGCUAAAAAUAUGACAUCAGAUAUUAGAUAGUGGCAAAUCAAACUUUUUUAUCAAGUUAUGUUGUGCGAUGACAAAUUUUCAAAGCAAGCAAUGUUUUAAGCAAGCAUUGCCCAUGCUUGCUUUACAAAAUUGCCAUCCACAAAACAACAUAAUUUGCCAUCUCAGGUGUUCGAUUUGCCAUGCUAAAAAAAACUGAUGUUCGAAUUGUAACAUAAUAUGUAAAGAAAAUCCAACAACGCAUCAGCUCAAAAGAAUGCCAAAACUUACUAGGACUGCAUCUGAAUAGAUUGUAAUAUUCUACAAUUAGUAACCAAUAUCACCAUUGCUUUCCUUGCCACAAAACAAGGAGAGCAUCAAUUUAUGACCUGAAUACGCUGACAACGACCGCACAUGAACCCAGCUCACGACACACCAUUUUUGUGAAUCUUAGUACGUUCAACGACAAUGAAAUAGCAAACUUCUACCAACGCAUAGCUACCAAACUCAC
rnacentral:lncRNA from 1 species